CCUUCUUAUUAAUGUUCUCUUCAUUAGCCUCAGCCUUUUUUCUCUUAAGCAAAUCAACCACACCUUCAAGUGCUGGUUCAGCAUUCUCAUUUCUCAUCAAGUGUUCUGCAAUUUCUGCUGGAGUGACUUGUACUUCCUGGAUUAGGUCCUUUAUCUCGGGAAAAAGCCUCGGAUGAUCAUGGUUUGCCAAAUAAUUCAAUGCCAGGACGUCGAAUCCAGCAGGCGUACAGUAAGACAUGUGAAUGUGCAUGUCCAUUCGACCGGGACGUAACAAGGCAGGAUCGAUCUUCUCCUUGUGGUUCGUUGUGAAAAUUAUGAUGCGUUCGUCUCCACAAUUAGACCAUAGUCCAUCCAUGAAGUUGAGCAAACCCGAAAGAGUUAACUGCAUAGAACAUGAACAUCAAAAUUUAUAAACUUCCUUUUAAAUCUAAUUUCUAAGUAGGCCUGAGCAUCAUUUGGAUUGAGUAUGUUUUGAGUUCAAUCCAAAACAUAUGGAUUUAUGUUUAUGUUUUUAUUAUUUUAUUUUUUAAAUUUAAAAAUAUGAAUUUUAACAGGGGACCAAUCCAAUUCCAGGCAGCGAACACCACCAAUAGCAAGCAGAGAAAUAAUAUAGGCAAAGGAAUUAAUCAAAUUCUGCCAUGAAUAAAACUUGUAAAGGUCCACUAACCUUAUCAUCAGAAGGUUCAGGCUCAACAUCCCGGUUGAGCAUGGGAGCGUUGCAAUCAAUAUCUUCAAUCACAAUAAUCGAUCGAUUGGCAGUCGAAAGCAAAGUCCUUUUCAAUUCAGCAUUUGAAUAUAAACUUGUAAGCUCCAAAUCAUAGAUAUCGAACUUCAAGUAAUUCGCCAUCGCUGCAAUCAAGCUCGAUUUUCCAGUCCCGGGAGGCCCAUAAAGAAGAUACCCUCUUUUCCAAGCCUUUCCUACUUUCUUAUAAUACUCUUUUCUCCUCACAAAUCUGUCCAAAUCGUCAAUAAUUUGUUCUUUCAAUUGUGGGUUCAUUGCCAAUUUCUCAAAAGUCACAGGAUGAUCCAAAUUCACACAGCCCCAAACCCCACUUACAUUUCUCCCAUCAUCAUCAUCAUCGGAGUCAGAAUAUGGACAAUCCCUUGUGUACAAUUUCACAUUCCUGUCUUUUUCCCUAAGUUCUUUGGCCUUUUGCAUAACAAAAGGCAAAUACUCCUUCAAUACGGUUUCUCUAUGCUGCUUAUCAAAACUGAGUUCGAAGUACCUUUUUUCCGACUGGAAACGAUUUUUUGAAUUUUCCGGCACUUCCAAAACAAACUGCCAUGUGAGCUCAAUGUUGUUAUAAGUAUCAGUUACAACUUCAUCCUUCUCCAUACUUAAACUGAUACUUUUCUUCUUGGGAUUCUUGCUUACCUUGAAUCUCUUAGUAUUUGGGUUGAUUUUCGUGUGUAGAUAAAUCUCCGCAGAUUCGUAGAUUUGGUUGCGCGUCAUGCCCCUGUUCUCGUCCACCACCAUCGUGAUUUGGGUCGAUAACGGAGCGAAAAAAUAGCUGAAAAUCCGAGUGAAAGCAGAAAUAAUGUACGAUUUUAAAGGCUCGGGGAUAACAUCAUGUGCCAUGGAUCGGAACAGCAUCAUUGAUGCUGCAACAGAUGCGUAGGCUGAAAAUAUAUUGGAAGCCAUUGAUUGCACUUCACCAAAUGACUGCAUAUUUCACAAACAAAAUAUUUUGGAUUGAUUUAUUGAAAGAUUCUUGUUUGCCUUUGAGAAUGGCAGAGAAAUUGAAAUUCGAAGCUAUGGGUUAGCCCCCUUUGGCUCCCAUUUUAUAGAGUUGAAAAUAGGUGGAAUAGUAUUUUUCUGAAAAAUGAGUGGUUGAGAAAAAAAAUUCGAUUUAGAUAUAAUAAUAUUUUAUAAAAAAUUAUAUGAUUGAAAAUAAGAGAAAGAAAAAUAUAAUAUAAUAUAAUAAAAAUUAAUGGUUACGAAGAGAUGUUUCAGUGGGUUAUAUAUAAGAAGAAUAAUGCUAUUCGAACAGAUUCCUUUGCACAGAUGUUGAACAGGUAAUAAAAAAUUAAUAAUGGACACAUCAAUGAACAGCAAAUAUGGCCCAUUAUUUGAAAUUUUAUUUUAAUAGUUAAAAAGGUAGAAAAAGUUUUAAGAUUAUGUUUAAUAUUAUUUUAUAAGAGAGAUUUGAUUGAUAAAAAGAAGAAAAAUAAAUUAUAAUUUUAACGAAUCAUGCAGAGAUGUCAGAUGUAUGACGUGAGAGAGGGUACGGUAGCAGGCAGUAGAGACGUAGCGAAGAAGCAGAGGACUUGAGAGGAAUCUGAAGUAAGGUCUUUUUUUAUUUUAUUUUUUUUGCCGACUUCAAAGAAUUUGGACUUUCUGGGAACUGUAGAGGAUUGGGCAGCACGCAAGUAACUUUUUUUUAUAAAAUAAAUAAAGGGAAAUAUUUGGGUUGGGAUAUAACCUGUUUGAUAAAAAUUUAAAUUUAAAUUUAAAUUAAUAAUAUUUUAAAUAUAGUAGUAUUUAUAAAUAAUUCUCAUAUUCAUACAGUCCUAGCCCUUGUUUGAGCCCAAUUUUUUUGGAAAGAAUGAAUUUUUGAAUAGUGUAUUGAUGAAAAAUGUAUAAUUAAAAAAUAAGAAAAAAUUUUAGAUUACGUGUAAUAUUAUUUUAUUGAAAAAUGUGUGGUUAAAAUAAUAUCAAAACACUAUUAAAAAUGUAUUUUUACAAAAGAAUGGGCCUCAAACAAGGGCCUAGUCAUUAUAAUUCUUCUAUUCCAUGUAACUCUAAUUCUUUCAUAUAAAUAUGAAAAUACGAUUCUUAAGAAAAUAUCAGCUUGUUUGGGAGAGAUUUUUUGUCCCAAAAAAUUGAUUUUUUUACUUUUAUUUCACUAUUUCAGCCGUCAUAUUUGAUUUUUUCUCUCACAAAUGGAUCCCAUUUUUCUCCUAUCGAUAAAAAACUUAAUUCUCAAAAUCACUCCCAAAUUCUAUUUUUUUCUCUUUUAUUUUUAGUUUAUAAAACGUUAUCAGCACGAUUAUAUCAAAAUCAAAGUAAAUUAAUUAAAAAGUAAUAAUUUUUGGCUAUGUUUUGAGCCACAUUUUUAUCAAAAAAAAUAUAUUCUGAAACAAUGAUUUGAUAUCAUUUCAACCACACAUUCUUUAAUAAAUAAUAUUACACGCAACUUCAAAAAUUUUCUUUAUUUUUUAAUCACACAUUUUCCAUCAAUACACUAUUUAAAAAUAUUUUCUUAAAAAUAUAAUGUGUCUCAAACAAGGGCUUUAUAAGCAUAAUCAUCUGUCAUGUGUAUCAAAAUUAAUUUUUAUAAGCACAAUCAAAAGAUGCUAUGACAUUUGAAUUUUUUUUUUUCAUUUAAACGAUCGGUGCUCAUUUUAGACUCCUUAACUCAAAUUCUUUCAACUAACGCUAUGAUUUAAAAACUCCAAACCAUCACACUUCUAUGAAAACAAGAACUAACAUUCUCAUCCCCAAACUGAUUUAUAGCAAUUUGAUUUCUAUAUGAAGGACUUGGAAAAUUUAUAUUCAAACCUUGGUCGACAACAUCAACAAUUAAUUCUACUUAAUUGAGCCAUGUCCCAACAUAGCCAUGUCCCAACAUAAGUGAUAAGUCAAUAUGACUAUAUGCUCAAAUAAUCAAAUUUAACAUAAUUAAGUUUUCAAGUAAAAGCAUAACUUAUGAUGUUGUCCAGCAUCUAACUAAAUAUAUGUUCCAUUCAAACAAAUAAACAUCAUCGUAGGCGGCAAGUCAUCAGCGCUAACUAGACACUAUUUUUUUGUUUUUGAUUUUUUUUUAUUUUUGCAGUUAUAUAGACCCGAUUAGCAGUAGAAAAAUAAAUAUGUAUUUUAAGUAUCGUAAUACCUAUCCACUCCAAACUAAAAUAUUAUAUGAUUUCCAAUGUAAGAGCAAAAAUAAUCAAAGUAAAGGAGUAAGGAUUAGAAAUUCGUUGGGUAGAUGUUAAUAGAUAAAAGGAUCAAGCGGACCUGACUGGUAGAUAUCAUAAUAACCGCCACUUUUUCUUGUUGCCAGACUUUAAUUUGCUGUUCCAAGAGUAUAAAAUAAAUAUUAGUGAUAGCAUAUAAGGUUUAAAUAUUUGCAAUGAAUUCACAAAAAAUAAUAAUAAUAAAAUAAAAAAAAUUCUAAUCUUCAAACUUUUAGAAAAACUAUCUAACAGAGCAUACGUCCUCACAAAAUCCUAUGACCAGGAGAAGAUAAGUUUUUCUAAUUUGUUUGGAGAUUAAAAUCUAAGUGCAACCUCAAGAACGCAUAUCACAUCAAUGUAAGCUCAACAGAUGUUAGGAUGUUAACAAUGAGGCUAAGUAAAUGGAACUCAAUGUAUAAAAAUGCCUAGGUUACUAAUGUAAAUCUUAAAAAUACUACCUAAAAUAUGUUAAAACUCAUCUACAUGCAUGAGUUCCUAAAUAUGGUCAUAAAUGCUAAUGCAAUCCUUAAAAUUUUAUUUAUAAUGCAAUACUUAAUCAAAAUAAGUGAAAAGAGAUAGAGAAAUGGGUUACCUCCAAUUAAGAGCUUGAUUUUUGGCACAUGGGUGUCAUGGCACUUUGAAUAUGGCUUUGGAGUCCUACUUGGUUGGCUCAAUAUGACCUCGUUCCAUAUUGCAGCCAUCUGCCAAAUUUCAACCCUAUUUCUUCCAAGUAGUGUCACUUCACCUCAUCAUCUGUUUGGAACUCAAUGCGGAAUACCUCAAUCUCCUUCGAAUCAGUGAGAGUGGAUUGAGAAUGCAUAAUACAGGGCUCAUAAACGUUUGACGGGUUCUGCAACUUAAAAGUCGUGAAUUAUGCUAUCAACCACCUCAAUCCAGAAACAACUGUCUUACUCGGUAGGAUAUUUCAUUGCUUUGAAAACACUGGAAGAAACCUGCUUCUCCCCAUCCUCAGAAUUAAUUGACCUCGCUGCACAUCUAUAAGAGCUUUUGUAGUAGACAAAAAUGGUCGACUCAAUAUGAGCAUCAUGUCCUUGUCUUCUUCCAUAUCUAGAAUUAGGAAACCGCUGGAAAUAUAAGUUUAUUCACCUUUAACAAAACAUCUUCAAUGAUUCUUCGUGGAUGAGCGAGUGACUGAUCAUCCAGCUGUAGAGUUACCGUAGUUGCCUUAUGUUCUCCCAAUCCUAGCUUCUUGAAAAUAGAGAGUGGCACCAAGUUAAUACUUGCAUCUAAAUCACGUAAAACUUUAUUAAAGUAGCAAUUCCAUAUAGUGCAGGGUACAGUAAAACUCCCUGGAUCUUUUAACUUUGGAGGUAACGUUUUCUGAAUUCUAGCGCUGCAUUCCUCUGUCAAUAUCACCAUUUCUUACUCCUACAGCUUACGUUUGUUGGAUAGGACGUCCUUCAAGAAUUUGGCAUAUUUGGGUAUCUGGGUAAUUGCUUCAGCCAACGGAAUGUUUAUGUGAUGUUUCUUGAAGAUCUCCAAAAAUUUCAUAUAUUGUUAAUCCAUCUUAUACUUCGUCAAUCUCCAAGGGAAUGGAAUUGGGGGUUCGUAUGGAUUGACAGGAGCAGUUGCUUUAGCCUGUGUUUUAUUCGAAUUUUCUUUGGUAGUUGUUUCUCUAGUCUUUCAGUCUACUCCUCAUUAGCAGGAGGUACUGUUUCCUUGUCUGCAUUUGAUAUCUUCACUUUAUUUUCUGGUAAUUGAACCCCACUUCUUUUAGUAAUUGCUUGAAAAUACUCUUUGGGAUUCACUUUAGUAUUGCUUGGCAAAGUAUCUAGUGCCCUUCUUGUCAUAGAAAGUGCCAUCUGUCCCAUCUGCAUCUCCAGGUACUUAAUUGCAACACCCUAAUUUUGGAUAGUAGUUUAUCAGUUCUUUUCAUGAAUUUCGCAAACAUCUCUUCCAAUGGAAAUGUCUUCUCCUAUUGAAAUUAUCCCUGAGGUCUAUUCUGAUUUUGAUUUUAAUUACCACCCCACGAGAGAUUUGGAUGUUCUCUCCAAUCAAGAUUAUAAGUGUCUGAAGUCAGAUAGUUUCGUUAACGUUGUCCCCAUUGCGCAUACUCUACUUGUUCCGUUUCCCGUGACAGAAUUGGGCAUUCUGCUAUACUGUGAUUCGCUCGACAUUCUUUACAACUUGGUUUCCGUGCAUGUAUUGCAUUCGUUGACUCUAAUAUGCUUUUCACCUUAUGGAAUAAAGAAUCUAUUUUUGUAGAUAGGGCUGAAAAAGCAUCCAUUUCAAACACACCUAGCACCUUUUCUUGAACGGCUCAUUCUGAUGCCUACACGAAUGAAGUAGUAGCCACUGUUGCAAAUAGUUUCAAUGUUUUGUCAAUGGUUUUUGUUGACAGUGAUCCAUUAAACGAAGAAUCAACCAUACUCUUGAAGGAUGGUAGUAAUCCUGUAUUGUAACGACCCAGCCCGCAUGGAUUGAAACGUCCUAGAUUAACUGUACUUGAGCCAUAAAUUUGUUUAACUUGUUUUUAGUGGAAGAUAUAAAGAAUUAAUUUUUUUUCUUAUAAUUUAAUACUAAAAGAAAACAACAAUUUCAAAAAAAAUCAAAUUCAUUCAUACCGUAUAUGCACUUCAUAUGUUGGAUUAACGUAAACCAUAUAAGUAACAUACGGUAUUUUCAGCAUACUAUAUUUACAUUAUACUAUAUUUACAACAUACCGUAUUUGCAUCAUAUCGUAUAUGCAUGUAACCAUUAUUGACUUGAAAUUUUGCAAAACUUUAAAAGUAAUAUUGCUGUUUCAGUCUUUAUCUCAAACGAUAAUUAUCAAAAUAAAUUUGUUUGCAUAGCUCUCGAUCUCGAAACUUCAUCAAAUUUUAAUGUAAAGAAGAAAACUCCUUAUAAUAUGACAUAGUCAAAAACUAGCUUCCAUUGAUAUCAUAUGAUAUAUCAAAAUAUUUUUUCAAAACUCAGCAGCGACCCGGUUGGAAGGUAAACCGGUGCAGUUCACUUAAAAUAACAUAUAAAAUUCUACAGAUAUGAAAAUCAUAUAUUUCAAAUUUAUUUAGUAGCUAAUCCAUGAAACUAUUAAAUCCAAUUGGUUUCAUCCAGAAAUUUCAAGUAACGGUCGAGUUAUGAAUUUUUGAAGUCAAGAUAGAAGCUGAAAAAAAGAGGGCUCUACCUAGUACAGUUUACUUUUUACAACAUAUAAAAUUCUACCGACAUUGGAUUGAUAUAAUUCCAAGUUUGAUCAAUAGAUAACUUAUGAUGCUACCUAAUGCCACUAGUUUUGUAUAAAAAUACCAAGUAACGAAGGAGUUAUGAAUUUUUAAAGAUGAGGCACAAUCUAAAUUUUUUUAAAAAGACGGCAAAACUUUAAAUCGCUAACAUAUUUUUUGUAAACAGUGAUUUGUAAAUUCAUUCCUAUGAUACAUAUCUAAUUUCAAACAUAAUUUAUUCAUAAAGAAUGUUCAUAGAAUAGAUCCACUCACGACAUCCAUAGGAAUCUAAUUUAAAGAAAACGUAAACAUUUCAUAAUCAACUAAAGAUAUUAAAUCAUCGGUUUCUCUAUGACAUGUUUCAUCAUCCUUUACCAUCAUCCACGCCCCAAGAAAAAUCCAUUCAACCUGUAGAAAGGAAAUUAACCCAUGAGUUUGAAAUUUAAUAUAUAUCAUUGGUGCAUUUUGUUUUUAAAUUAAAAUUUUCGAACUAUAAAUUCAUCCAUCGCACGUAGAUGGAUUUCCAACAAAAUUCAAUUAUUAUAACAUUAUCAUAACAUCUAGAGCCGGAGAAUGAUCAUUCAAACUAUUAUAGUGCUGAAGCACAGUACCUGAAGGUACCAAUUCAUUCAAACAUUUAUCGAAAAUCAUAAUUUGAAACGAAGUAAACACUUACACCUCUACUUGCAUUAAAUUUUCUUGAAUAUCAAAGAACAAAAUAUAUAGAAAGUCUUUCUUCUUCCCACUUUUGUUAUUUCCUUAACUUAAAUUGACACGAAAUAUAAUUUUUUGAGAGAAAAUAAGAGGAAAUUCAGAUUUGAAGAUGGGUGUAGUAAAAAAGUGACCUUCCACUUUUUGUAACAUUCCCUUUUAAUGAAAAACUAAAUGGGGGGUUGUAUAUUCAUUAAGUUUGUUAAAUUUGAUCUUUAACUAAGAAUUUGGAGAGUUUCUAUGCCAUAAAAAAAUAAUUCAUAAAAAAUUUUUAUAAAAACAUCUACACGAUGAUUCGAACCUGAGUUGCCUAUAUGAAAUAUUAUGUAGAUGACCAUUGAGGCAACCCAGAUAUUCAUUAAAUCUUUGUAAUCAAAUUUACUUAAACUUAAUAUCUUAAAUUAUUGGGCUUUUACAAUCUUAAAUAGAUUGAGCUUUCAUAGCUCGUUUUUUGAAUGGGUUAGACUUGUGGUGCUAGAUCAUCAUAAAAUAAUUGCCUAAUUUCAUUUUAUUUCUCGGGCUUUUACAUCUCUUACACCUUAAAGAAAAUUUUGUCCUUGAAACUUACCUUAUGGAUUUUCAAAGAAUGUUGGAUAUUUGUCUUUCACUUAUUCUUCUCUUUCCCAAGUAGAUUAUUCUACUCCAUGCUUAUUCCAUCGCACUUUGACCAGUUGAAUCUCCUUGUUCCGUAAUUUAUAUACCUUUCGAUCCAGUAUCUUAAUUGGUAAUUCCUCAUAAGAUAAGUAUUUUUGUACUUUAUCGCACUUUGACCAGUUGAAUCUCCUUAUUCUGUAAUUUAUGUACCUUUCAAUCCAGUAUCUUAAUCGGUAAUUUCUCAUAAGAUAAGUCUUUUUGUACUUUUAAAGAUUGAUAAUUGACCACUUGAUCAGGAUCAUUCAUAUACUUUUUGAUCAUUUAUAUAUGAAACACAUUGUGAACGGCUGAUAGCUUAGGCUGCAAAGCCAGUUAAUAAGCCACAUUUUUUAUUCUGUCAGGUAUUUCAAAAGGUCCGUUAUAACGAGGUCAUAGUUUGCCUUUAUUGUUGAACUUAAGCACACCCUUUAGAAAAACUCUCUCUCUAACAUCAAAUUUCAAGUCUUUUUCUUGGUACCUGCAUAACUCUUUUGUCUAUCUUGCGUGACUUUUAUCUUGGUAAAAAUCUUAUCAAUGGCUUCAACUGUUCUUUCAAUGAUCUUUGGUCCCAAAACUCUCUUUUCUCCAACUUCAUCCCAAUGAACAGGUGAUCUAUACCUUCUACUAUAGAGAGCUUCAUACGGUACCAUUCUAAUAGUUGCUUGGAAACUAUUAUUGUAUACAAAUUCCACUAAAGGUAGAUACGAUUCCUAACUACCUCCUAGAUCCAAAACACAAGCCCUUAACAUAUUUUCCAAAGUUUGAAUGGUCCUUUCAGAUUGACCAUAAUAUCGAGGGUGAUACGCCGUACUGAAAUUCAAUUUCGUUCCCAUAGCUUUUUGUAAACUCUUCAAAAAGAUUGACAUAAAUCUCGGAUCUCUAUCAGACACAAUGGACACAGGGACACUAUGUAAUUUUACAAUCUCUCUAAUGUACAACUGUGCCAACUGAUCUAGAUUAAACGUCUUUUUACAGGAAGAAAAUGAGCUGACUUUGUUAGACGAUCCACUAUUACUGACUUUGUUAGACGAUCCACUAUUAUCCAUAUAGCAUUGUGUCCUCUUCUUGACUUUGGAAAUCCUACCACAAAGUCCAUUGCGAUAUUUUUUUCACUUCCAUUCAGGUAUGUCCAAUGGAUUUAAUAACCUUCCUGGUUUUUGAUGUUCUACUUUAACUUAUUGGCAUACUAUGCAUUUUGCCACAAAUAAGCCUAUACUUCCUUUCAUGUUCCUCCACCAUAAUGUAUCUCAAAAGUCUCGAUACAUUUUCGUACCACUAGGAUGUGCGGUGUACGAGGUGGAAUGAGCCUCCUCCAAUAUCUCCUUCCUCAAAACUUCAUCCUUAGGCACACAAAUUCUUCCUUUAAACAUUAGUGCCUGAUCAGAAGCAAUUUCGAAAUCCUUUCUCUUAUCAGUACCAAUCUCGUUCUUGAUCUUUUACAAAAAUGGAUCUUUACCUUGUGCUCCGAUGAUUUAAUCUCUAAGAGUGGGUCGAACCAUCAAAGUUGCUAAAUGAGCAUUGACUUGUUCUGGUGUGGUAAUCAUUUCGAUUGGCAAAUUUUUCAAGUCUUUGAUCAACUCCAUCGGAAUAGUAGGUAAUGAUGCCAACUGUUCUAUCGACUUUUCGCUUAGAGCAUCAGCAACAAUAUUAGCAUUACCAUGAUGUUAAAAAAUAGUACAAUCAUAAUCAUUUACUAGCUCCAACCAUCGUCUCUGUCUCAUAUUCAAUUGCUUCUGUAUAAAGAAAUAUUUGAGACUCGUAUGAUCCGUGUAAAUGUCACACUUCCAUCCAUAUAAGUAAUGGCGCCAUAUUUUUAAUGUAUGAACCACCACUGCAAGUUUUAGAUCAUGCGUCGGGUAGUUCUGCUCAUGUUACUUCAAUUGUCUUGACGCAUAGGCAACGACUUUUCCAUGCUGCAUCAGUACACAUUUCAAACCUUGUUUGGAUGCAUCACUAUAUAUAACAAAUCCUUCUGAACCUUUAGGUAUGAUUAAUACAAUUGCUGUAAUCAAUUGUUGUUUUAGCUUUUAAAAUUUGCUCACACUUAUCUGUCCAUUGAAACUUUACUCAUUUCUCUAUCAAUUACGUCAUUGUUCCAGCUAUUUUGGAAAAUCCUUACAUAAAUCUUCGAUAGUAUCCAAUCAAUCCCAGAAAGUUUCCAACUUCACCAGUAUUAGUCGGUGUCUUCCAAUUAGUUACCGCUUCCACCUUUACCGGAUCUACUUCAAUUCCUUAGGAAGUAACUACAUAACUGAGGAAUCCAACUCGUUCAAGCCAAAAUUUGCACUUUUUAAACUUGGCGUAUAACUUUUCCCUACGCAAUGUUUCUAACGCUAUUCUAAGAUGUUCUUCAUGUUGAUCUUUACUCUUAGAGUGAAUUAUAAUGUCAUCAGAUCCAUAAACACUGCCAGAGCAUUUGUCAGUUUGAAUGGCAUAACUGUGAACUCGUAAUGUCCAUAACUAGUUCUGAAAGCUGUCUUAGGUAUAUCACUUUCCUUAACCUUCAAUUGAUAUAUCCAGAUUGUAAAUCGAUCUUGGAAAAUACCUUAGCCCCUUUCAAUUGAUCAAACAAAUCCUCGAUUCUCGGGAGAGGAUACCUAUUCUUGAUGGUCAAAAGUUCAACUCCCAAUAGUCGAUACACAUCCGCAUACUUUCAUCUUUCUUCUUUACAAACAAUACCGGUGUGCCAUAUGGUGAUACACUUGGUCGAAUAAAGCCAAUGUCUAACAGUUCUUGUAACUGGAUUUUCAAUUCCUGAAGUUCUUUUGGGGCCAUUCUGUAUGGAGCUUUAGAUACUGGUGCUGCCCAGGAACUAAAUCUAUUGUAAAUUCCACUUAUCUAUCUGGUGGAAUACUAGGUAGAACUUCUGGAAACACAUCUAUAAGUUCUUGUACCACUGGUAUAUCCUCAAUCUUUAUCGUUGUCAGUUUUUCUCCAGAGAUAUUAACUAGAAAUCCUUGAGAUGUUUCAUUUCUCAGCAUUUUCUCGACUUGUAAGGCCGAUACUAGUCGUAGGUGGGGUUUGGUCUUUAUUCCAGGGAAAGAAAAUUGUUCCUCUCCUGGUUUCUGAAAAGACACUACACUUUCUCUACAAGAAAUGGUUGCAUAAUUAUAUCCUAACCAAUCCAUGCCCAAAAUCACAUCAAAGUCUUUUAUCUCUAUCACAUACAAAUUUGCUUCAAAUGUUUUUCCCUCAAUUUUAAGAUUCACCUUCAAUGUUUUGCCUGAGGAAACGCUAACUUCUAGUGUACUCUUUGAUUUAUCACAAUUAAUACUAGAUUUAGCAAUAAAAGAUUUUGAUACAAAAGAAUGAGUAGCUCCUGAAUUAAACAGUACAUAAGUAGGUGUAUCAGAUAUUAGUAACAUGCCUGCUAUCACAUUUGAGUUCUCCUUUGCAUUCUUCUGCGUCAUUGUAAACACUCGUGCUUUCCCCUUCUUGUUCUGAUCAUUGUUAUCGUCCUUCUUCUGAGCAAAUAUGGGUCAAUCCUAUGUCCUGCUUGCACACCGAAAACAUGCAUUCUUCCCAUACAAGUAUUCCCCACGAUGAGGCUUACCACACUUAGGACAUGGCGUUAUUGCAGCUACUAUGUCCUUACUAGCACUAGGUCUAGUAUUAGCCUUCUUAUUUUGCCAUUUGUCUUUUCUUUUGUCUUGACCAUUCCAUUUUCUCUUUCCAACCUGUCCUUUGCCCUGCUGGUUGUACAAUUGAUGGUGUUGCUAUGCAUUUGCCUUUUGAUACCAAAUAGCGUGAGCUCAUUUCAAUAUCUCACGGUAUGAUGUGAAACGAUGUGACAUAAGAAUCAUACUUAGGUCUGUGAUAAGUAUGUUUUUACACAUUAAUUUGGUUCACAAACAUGACUUAAACAUGGAUAAAAUGGUUGAAUUGUGACUUAAUCUAGUUAAAUUCAUGUAUUGUAGGUAAUUCAAUGGAAUUUGUGGAAUUCAGGAAAAAAGAGCCAAAGAAGGACCAAAACGCAACAAAUUGAUAGUUCGAGGACCAAAUAUGCAAAUAUUGAGAAGUUGAGCUAAAUGCAAAAUGAGAGUAAAAACAUGCCAAGUAUGAGUUCAAGGACAAAGCAAAACAAGCGGAGGAAGAAAGAAUCGAAGAGGGACUGAAAUGAGGACAGUUAAAAGUUGGAGGACUAAAGCGCAAAUACUCAAAAGAUGAGCUGAAUGAGUGGCAAGAGAUUCGAUGGUGUCAAUCAUCAAUUGGAGGAUAACAUUUGUUGAAAAGAUGAAGAAAUCGAAGAAAGAAGUCAAUAGAGGCAACAAGGAAAGUUCAGGGACCAAAAUGUAAAGACUUCAUAGUUGGUUAGUCUAUGCGACCGCAUAGUGUAACCAUCUAUGCGGUCGCAUAGAUGGUUGCAGGAAAUUUUGGGGGAAAAUUUAUUGGUCUAUGCGACCGCAUAGAAACCUUCUAUGCGGUCGCAUAGUGAUACUUCGGGGGCCUCCGUUGCAGUUUUUUGUUUUUGUUGAAACUAUUUUCCUACUUGAUUUUGACGCGAUGUAAAUAUCCAAAAUCAUCAAAUUGAAGGAGGAACGAUCAGGGAGAAGAAAUACACUCAAUUUGAAGGCAAGAAACACAAUUUUGGGCUUGAUUUCACAAGGAUUCAAGAAGGAAUUGAAGAUUACACACAAAAUUGAAGGAUUAUCAUACGGGUGUAUUCUUUAUAUCUUUUAAUUUCGUUUUAAUUCUUGAUUCUGUAAUUAUGAUCAUAGGCUAGGGUUUUUAUUCAUUAGGAAAUCGAUGAACCUUUGAUUAUUUAAUCUCCUUUAUUUCAUAAAUUCAAUAUAAAGUUUUGGUUGGACAAUUGUUUGAUUUAUAUGAUUUGAUUGCUUCCAUAAUUAUUGGCCAUAUGUUAUGUGAGUUUAGAUGAUUUAUUCUUUGCAUUCGAAAGAAGGGGAAUAGAUUCGAUAUAAUAUAAAUUAACAUAGGGUUCGAUAGGGGAUAAAAAUAUACCCCUAUGCUUUGUGCAAUUCAUAAGAUGUUCAUAAAAAUUCAUGCAUUCUUGUAUAUUUGCAUCAUCCAUAGAAAUAUAGGCUGGUGGUAUGCAAGAGUAGAUUCAAUAUAUAUCGAGAGAGUAUAUUGGAUAGGUUUAGGAACAUUGAAUUGACAUUUUUUCAUCGAUUCGUUGAAUUUGUGAAAUUAAGGUUUUUAAUAGUCAAUUGGAGAUUCGAGAACCUAAUGAUUGCAUUUCAAUUUAUUUCUAUACAUUAACUUCCAAAAUUGCGUAUUUACAUUUUAAUUGAGUUUUUGAGUUAUUCAAUUAGUGAAAUUUCGAAAUUAGGGCUUCUAAUUUCGAAAUUAGGGUUUUCUUUAAAAAUUAGGGUUUCAAAUUGGGGAUUUCUCCCACAAUUAGGGGUUUUCACAUUUAAACCAAAUUUUCAUUCAAUCAGAUUCGGUUAAGGUCACAUUAGUCUAAUUAGAGCUAAUUCAAUCCUUGUGGGAAUGAUACUUGGACUCAUAGUCCAUUUUACUACUUGUUAACGAACCGUACACUUGCGGUGGGUUUUAAAAUUGAAAGAAAUAAUUUGUGAACAGUCUGGUUUUAACCCUUGCUCAAACAUUCAAGUCUUCUUCAUUUCCAUGUCCAACAGAUGUGGAGCAUACCUUGAGAGUUGGUCAAAUUUUCGCUCAUAAUCAGUUAGGGACAUAUUAGCCUACUUGAGUUGAAGGAAUUCGUUCUCCUUAAAAUUCCUUAGAGACUGAGGAAAAUACUUGUCCAUCACUUCCUCCUUGAAUUGUUUCCAAGUUAAUUCCAAUUGUUAUUUUGGAGUCCUAGUUCGGUACAUCGAAUCCCACCAAUGGCUUGCAUCACCGGUAAACAUAAACUCUGUACACUGGACCUUUUGGACGUCAGUGGAAUCGAUGAGUCGAAAAAUUUACUCUAACUUACGAAGUCAUUCUUCAACUACUAGUGGACCAGAUGCUCCAUUGAAGGUAGGGAUUUAUGCCUUCAAAAAAUUUGAUAAUUAAUUUUUUUAAUAAACGAGUAAUUUCUACUCAUUUCACUCUUGGUUUUCGUCUAGGUUUUCCUCUUCUUCUUUGUUCGUAUUUAUCACAAUUGACUCCAUCAUCUGAAGUUACUACCUAUUCGAAUCCCAUGUGGAAGAUAGCAUCACCAAUCUUAGUCUCCCAAUUAUAAAUAUAGGCAUUGCAAAAAUCUCAAAGUCAAGUUGCUUAGAUUCACUUUCCAAAAUUUGAGAUGGCCUAUUUUCUUAUAUAAGCUUUCCAAUUCGUUUCUCAUGAGGUGAUAGAGUUUCUAGCAAAUGACCUAUUACGUGUCAGUCAUUAAUCCUAGAAUCUCCAUUCUUUGCGUUUAGUCAAUGUUGGUACACAUUUCGUAUGGGAUUGUUAAGGUCUAUAAAUUCGUCUAUUUCAAAAUCUGGAUAAGCUCGGAUAUCUAUAUCCUAUUGACUAAUAUGGUUAUUUUCCUUGGGAUUUUGAUGUUCAUUUGACAUUUGUGACCCAAAACUUCAAGUUCUAGCCCAAUACAUGUCCUUUGAAUAACUUUUUUUUUUUCAAACUAAAUUUAUCAUUACAUAUAAGGUAUACAUAAAGAAAAAUAUAAAAUGUAGUGAAACAUGGAAAACAUAACUAUAGAAUCAUAACAUGUUUCAUAAGAAAAAAUUUAACUUUGCUUAGCUAAAUAUACUUGGGCCGUAGGAUGUGGUCGACUGAUGGAUAUGAGAUACCAUGGAGUGCCUUAAAUAUUUCAUUUUUCUCAUCUUUAAAUUUCCCACUUGUACAUAAAAUAAUAUUAUUUUAAAAAAACGACAAGUCUACAGAAUCGACUGAACUCGUGCUCUGAUACCACGCUGUAACGCCCCUACUCGUAUGGAUCGAAACGUCACUAAAUUAACUGUACUUUAUCUGUAAAUUUGUUUAACUUGUUUUUUGUGAAAGGUAUAAAGAAUUAUUUUUUUUAUAAUUUAAUUCCAAAAGAAAACAAUUUAAAAAAAAUCGAAUUCAUUCAUACCGUAAUGCACUUUACAUGUUGGAUUAAUGCAUACCGUAUAUGCAACAUACCGUAUUUAUAGCAUGCUGUAUUUGCAUCAUACCGUAUAUGCAUGUAACCACUGUUGACGUGAAAUUUUAUAAAACUUGGAAAGUAAUAUUGCUAUUUCAAUUUUUAUCUCAAACAGUGAUUAUCAAAAUAAAUUUGUUUGCAUAGCUAUCGACCUCGAAACUUCAUCAAAUUUUAAUGUAAAGUAGGAAACUCCUUAUUAUGACAUAAUACAAAAUUAUCUUCCAUCGGUAUCAUAUGUGGUAUUAAAAUAUUUUUACAAAAUCUAGUAGCGACCUGGUUGAUAGGUAAACCAGUGCAGUUAACUUAAAAUGACAUAUAAAAUUCCAAAAUAUCAAAACCACAUGAAAUCAAAUUUAUUCAAUAUCUAGUCAAUGAAACUAUCAAAUCCAAUUGGUUUUAUCCAGAAAUUCCAAGUAACGAUCGAGUUAUGAAUUUUUGAAGUCAAGGCAGAAGCUAGAAAAAACAACGACUCUACCUAGUGCAGUUUACUUUAUGCAACAUAUAAAAUCCUACUGAUAUCGGAUUAACAUGAUUCCAAGUUCAUUCAAUAGCUAACUUAUGAAACUACCCAACACCACUAGUUUUGUAUAAAAAUGUCAAGUAAUGAAAGAGUUACGAAUUUUUAAAGACUAGACAGAAUCUGAAUUUUUUUAAAGAGACAGCAAAAUUUUAAAUCGCUAACAUAUUUUUUGUAAACGGUGAUUUGUAAAUUCAUACCUAUGACGCAUAUCUACUUUUAAACAUAAUUUAUUCAUAAAGAAUGUUCAUAGAAUAGAUCCACACAUGACAUCCAUAGAAAUCUAAUUUGAAAAAACGUAAACGUUUCAUAAUCAAAUAAAGAUAUUAACUUACCCGCUUCUCCAUAACAUGUCGCAUCAUCCUUUACCAUCAUCUACGCCUCAAGGAAAAUCUAUUCAACCUGUAGGAAGGGAAUUAAUCCAUGAGUUUAAAACUCAAUAGAUAUCAUUGGUGCAUUUAGUUAUCAAAUUAAAAACUUCGAACCAUAAAUUCAUUGUAGAUGGAUUUUCGAUAAAAUUCAAUUACUAUAGCAUUAUCAUAACAUGUAGAGCCGAAAAAUGAUCAUUCAAACUAUUAUAGUGCCUAAGCAACAUACUCGAAGGUACCAUUUCAUUCAAACAUUUAUCAAAAAUCAUAAUUUGAAACGAAGUAAACACUUGCACAUCUACUUGCAUUGAAAUUUCUUGGAUAUCAAAGAACAAAAUGCGUAGAAAGCCUUUCUUCUUCUCACCCUUGUUAUUUUCUUAGCUUAAAUUGACAUGAAAUAUAUUUUUUUAAGAGAAAAUAAGAGGAAAUUCGAAUUUGAUGAGGGGUGUAGUGAAAAAGUGACUUUCCACUUCUUUUAACAUUCCUUUUUAAUGAAAAAUUAAAUGGCGGUUAUAUAUUCAUUAAGUUUGUUAAAUUUGAUCUUUAACUAAAAAUUUGAAGAAUUUCUAUGCCAUAAAAAAUAAUUCAUAAAAAAGUUUUAUAAAAACAUUUACAUAGUGAUUCGAACCUAGGUUGCCUAUAUGAAAUACUAUGUAGAUGAUCAUUGAAGCAACUCAGUUAUUCAUUAAAUAUUUGUAAUUAAAUUUACUUAAACUUAAUAUCUUAAAUUGUUGGACUUUUAAAAUCUUAAAUGGGUUGAGCUUCCAUAACUCGUUUUUUGAAUGAGUUAUGCUCGUGGUGCUAGAUUAUCAUAAAAUAAUUGUCUAAUUUCAUUUUAUUUCUCGAGUUUCUACGUGCAUAGAAAAUUGGACUUUGAGUUCCUUACUGAUCCCAUGAUGGGGGACACUUAAGAAGUAUGUUCUUGAACCUAUUCCAGGCUUCAUCGAAGGAUUCAGAGUCACCUUGACGGAAGAUAGAAAUGUCAUGUUUCAAUUUUGCUAUUUUGGCGGAUGGGAAGAACUUUGUGCAAAAUUUUUACGCUAAGUUAUUCUAGAUAGUAAUACUGGUGAUUGGUUGAAAAUCUAGCCACUCAAUUGCUUUGUCACGCAAGGUAUGUGGAAACAGUCUCAAUCUGAUAGCAUCAUUUGAGAGAUGCCGAUAUCUGAAGUGUUGACACAUCUUCAGGAAUUAAGAGACUUGCAUAUGUGGGUUUGAAUUAGUUCUAUAGUAAAAUUGAUGUCUAAUCUGAAAUAAGUGUAUGACGUUGGUUUUUAAUUGGAAAAUUGGCUAUCCAAACGGUAGAUACACAAUACUAGAUUGGUUUUAAAUGAUUUGUGGGGUCAUGAAUUUCACAAAAAGCAUAUUUCCCUCAUCCACAACUUCCUCUUCAUUAGCCCAAAUUAUAUGGUUGUUUUCCUCGUUAGCCAUUUGUCAUUGCCUUUUUUUUUUUUUUAAUCUUUUUGAUGUUUAUAUAUCCUGAAAAAGAGAGAAAAAGAAAAAAAAAACUAAAAUAGAACAAAAAUAACAAUACGAGAAUAUAGAUAGAAGUCCGAAUUAGUGUCAAGAUAAAUAAAAUCAAACUAAAACUCAAUUUUCGACAACGGCACCAAAAAUUUGUUCACAAAAAAUACAUUUUGAUCUAAAACAUCGCACGUGUAUAGUUCGUUAACAAGUAAUAAAUUGAAAAUUGAGUCCAGUGUCAUUUCACAGAGAUUGAUUUAGUGCAAUUUUUAUUACCGUGACUUUAAACGAAACAAUAAAAAUAAAAGGGUUUGUUAUGAUGCAAAUUAUAACUAAAUUAAAUUAUGUAUGCAAUUAUAAGUGAUUUAAUUAACUAAAUGCAAUUUAUGAUUGAAGUAAAUUGAUGUGUUCUAAUGAAUUACAAAUGUUCUAGGAUCGCGAAUUCUCAUACAACAAUCCAUUUUAAACUUAAUUUUACACUUAAACAAUAGGAUUGGAUUUUGACUAAUCAAUGCUCCUAUUUUAUUCAACAAUCUUUCUCCAAUAAUGUAAAAAUCUAUUCUCAUAUACGGUUCGACUAUAUUUCUAUGACGUGUUAUGCUACAUGUAAAUUAUGGUGUCUAUAAUGAUGUCUAUAAUAUACAAGUGGCAUAACAUCAUUGGAGAGUUAAAAAAUAAUUUUUUCAACCUUCAAUCAUAGAAUUCCACAUGUACAUUAUGGACACCCUUACAGAUAUCAUAAUGUACAUAUAGAAUUAUCCUUCUAUGACAAUUGCAAAUACACAAGAAUGCAUGGAUUUUUAUGAACAUUUAAAGAUUCACAUAGAGCAUGGCGGUAUAUUUCUAUCCCCUAUCGGACCUUACUAUAAUUUAUACCAUAUUGAACAUAUUUUUCUUUUUUCGAAUGCAUGAAACAAGCUACCAAAUUUACACAAUCAUGUGCACAAUAAUUGUGGAGAAAAUAAAUUCAUAUAAACCAUUCAAGUUCCAAAAACGUGUUUUAAUGUAAAGAAUGUAAAGCUAAAAAUUAAAAAAUCAUAUCACAUGGUUCAUCGUUCUCCUAGCACAAACAAAUCUAGCCUAGCAUGGUGGGAAGAAGCAAACAAAUUGAAUAAUAAAGAAAAGACAUCACCAAUUUAAAUCUUGAAUUGAAUCAUUGCAUCUUGAUGUCAAUCUUCACGUUCUUGCCUCGUUCUCCCCUCUAAAAAUCCUUAUGAAUGUGUUAUAAUGCGUGUUGAAUGCUUAGGAAUGACCCUAGGAUUUUAAAAGACCUCUCAAAGUUUGUUUCUAUAAGAAUUUUAGUCAAAUAAGGAAACUAGAAAUUUUUCGCCUCGAUGACUGCCUAAGCAAAACCCGGACAGUCACCCAAGCUAACUUUUUCACCUUGAUAAUUGUUACUUGAUGUAGGGCAAUCCCCUACUCUAAACAACUGGGCUAUCGCCCAGUUAUAAAAAUUUUCGAAUGUUGCAUUUUAGUUUCCGAAUUCAAUUCUUGAUUCUUUCAAAUCUUUUCUCUUGCGCUUUUAACCCUUCGACUUUUAAUUGCAUUCAAUUGAACCAGCAACAUCUUUAAUCUUCAUUUUGUGGUCUGAAUCAACUAUUGAAAUGUUGGAAUUUAGCCCUCAUACUUUUGAUUUCCCCCAUUUUCUUUUCCAAUUGGUUAGAACCUGGUCCAUCACUGAAUAAACGAAAAUUUACCCAAGUUAAAUAAAAACCAAUAGUUUCAUGACAUAAAGACUUAGUAAUAUGGUCCAAAUAAGUGCACAAAAUGUACUUAUCAAAUUAUAAAUUAUUUAUCAUUUUAUGCAUUAUAUAGUAUUGGAACCUUAAGUAUAAAAUUAUAAUAUUUCUGCAAAUUAUAAUUUCUAAAAUUUCAUCUGUUUAUCAUAUCAUAACGAAUGUAUGACAAUAUCGAAAAUAUUUAAACGUAGAGUUUAUGUUACAACUUUGAAAUUCUUUUCCGUGUAAAGGUUUUAAUGAAAUUGUUACAACUUGAUUAACGUUUGUUAAAACUUAGAGUAAUGUGUCCAUGUGAUAAUACUGAUUCUUUUUUAGUGAUCAAAGACAUAUUUUUACAAGUAUUCUUCGAAUGUUAGAUAUUACUUAUUAGUAUUACCUUGAUAAGAAAAUGCAUUUCAUAUAAAGCCAAGGAAUGGAACUAAGAUACUGAUAUGGGAAUGAAAAGCAAAGUCUGAAACCUGGGUUUCAAUCUUUGAAACUUAACGAUCGUUUAGGGGUUUAAAACAAAUCAUCAUGACGAAGUACUAAAGAUUUCUAGGUUUUUAUGAAAUAUGAGUUUUCUGCAUCAAGUAAUAAAAUUAAAGUUUUUGUUGGCAAGUGGCAACCCUAUGAUACCCUAAGUAUGUAAGUCAAUAUUUGGGAUUGAGAUGUUAGAGAGUUGCAUAAAGUUUUUGGGCAUUUCAAUCAACCUACAUACAAUACGAUAAUAAUAAUAGUAACAAAGAUCUAUGAAGUGAUAGGGGUUCAAUUACGAAUUUAAAACUUGAUAGUUUUAAGGUUUCAAACAUUCACCACUAGCACUUGAUCUGACGUUUUUGUUUCUCUUUAAGAAUGACCUUCAAAAUUAUCAGAAAUUAUUAAAUUUGAGUUUCUUGGCUUAAGAUUCCAUUCUCUUCCUUGAAAUUUUCUUGUUGGCUAUCCUCUUCCUGUGAAUUUUCCUGCUUACUGGAUGAUUCAGCUUCUGCCCUUUUAGCCUCAGCCUCAGCCUCGUCAUUUUCUUUUUUCUUCGAAUGAAUAAAUUCAAUCAAACCCUUAAGAGUAGAAUCAUUGUCAUCGCUCUUGAGAAGCUGCUCGGCUACUUCAGCCGGUGUCACUUGAACAAUUUUGAUCAAACCCUCUAUUUCUUGAAACAAGUAAUGAUCCUUGAGACCAAGGUAAUUAUCUGCCAGAAGUUUGAAUCCACAGGGGGUGCAAUAUGACAUGUUGAUAUGCACAUCCAUUCGACCAGGACGCAACAAUGCUGGAUCGAGUUUUUCUAUGUGAUUUGUUGUGAAAAUUAUGAUACGCUCGUCCCCACAGCUUGACCAUAAGCCAUCAACAAAGUUGAGAAAACCAGACAGUGUCACCUACAAGAAUUCGUUUACCGUUUACCAUCAUAUAAACAAAAUUUGCUGCAACAUGCCUUAAGCAAGAAAGUAAGUUAAAUCUAAUCUUCCAUUACAUUGUCGGAUCAUAUCAAAUACUACGAAUGAACAUGUCUUAACUAAAUCUUUUCGACGCUCGAAAGAGGACAAGAAAUCCCAUAAAUAAAUCGGGUUAGUAAACUAAUUUUUUCCAUUUCUUAAAAGUUUCAAAGAACCCAUUUACCAUCAGAAAAACGCAACUUGCUGAUUAGUUGGUGUAAUGUGUAUAAGAACAUGCACUUAUAAGCAAUCAAAUUAAAGAGAAAAAAAAAAAAAACGCUUUCAUCAUUCCAUCGUGUUCAAUACUGUGAACGGCUAAACAAAUGGUCCACUAAUUGUCUUUUUGGGAUAAGGAGAAAUAAUUUGAAGUGAAAAAUGAUUAGUUUUUAAAAUGUGUGAUCAGAUCUAGUGAAAAAUUAUGGGUCCACGUACAGAUUUAUUUCACUAGUAGAAUGUGUAGUUGAGAAUGAGUUUGAAAAAAAAAAAAAUUAUUUUCAAAUAAGUUGUGCCAAACAAACGGUAAACCCUUGUUUGAUCCCUUUUUUUCAAUUAUACAUUUUUCCCCAAACUCAUUUUCAAUCACACAUUCUCUUAAUAAAAUAAUUUUAUGCAUAAAUCUAAUUUUUUUUUCUACUUUUCAUUUGCACACUCUUCAAUAAUCAUUAUUCCAAAAUCUAUUUUUACCAAAUAAUGGAGUUCAAACAAGGGCUAAAAUAUUAGGAGUCAUGCUACACUUACAAAGCUAGGUUACAAAGUUGGGUUACAAAAUAACAUCCACACCAAUCAUUUCAAAAACAAAUUUUUAAAUCAUUUCAAAUCAGUGGCCUACAUUUUGCCAACACACUUGGCAUCUUCACUUUUGUAAAGCUACUUUGUAAGAGUAGCUUUAUUCUAACAUAAUACUGCAUGACACAGUCAACUUCCCCAUCAAAUCAUCUAUUGCCAACAAAAAUUAUGUCACUGCAUGCGUUACAAUUUUCGGGUCAAAGUGGCAAAAUCAUUUUUUGAUAUACUCAUUUUCAAUUAUACAUUCACACAAUAAAAUAUUAUGCACGUACUGUAAAUUUUUUUUUUACUUUUUAACUGCAUAUUUUCCCAAAAGUCAUUAUUCUAAAUUCUAUUUUUGAAAAGUAUAAUUUCUAAACAGGGCUAAAGAUUGCAAAUGAUCUUUCCGUUCCUCCACGCCAAAAAGAAAAGAAAGAAUUAAAUGAUCCACCUCAAAAGUCAGUCUGGAUUUUUAUUACUCUCUGGUAUCAAUUCUUCUAGAGCACUUUUGGCUUUUUGUUUUGAGGUGAAAGUCUUUGUGAUUGAUUGACGUGUUCUCCAACUACUCCACAUUUUAUUAUUUAUUAUUCUUUACUUCGACUGAAAACAAAAAAGUGUUGAUAGCUCCCACCCACCCUGGACAGCAUUAUGUUAUAGUAAUUUCUUACUUUUUUUUUUUUUUUCCAGAAAUUACAAAAAAUAAUAUUUCCCAGUUUGAGUUUCAUUAUUUCAGCACUCAUUUUCAACCAUAUAUUCUACUAUAAAAUAAUAUCACAUAUAAAUUUAAAAAAAAAAACUUAUUUUUGAACCACGCAGUCUUCUAAAAAUCAAUAUUCCAAAACAUAUAUUCUCCAAACUCUCAUUUUAAAUGGAGCCUAAACACGGCCAGUUUAAAAGACUUGGAAAAAGAUAAACUUUCUUGACAGCAAAGUGCGAACAGUAUGAGACAUACUAUGUUGAACCAAAUUAUGGAAAAAUCUGAAAUGGGUGUACAAUGACAGGAGUUCAGUUCAAGACCAUGGCAGAUCCCGUUUGAUUUAAAUUAAAAUCUUAUUUUAAUUUAAGUUAAAGUCAAACAAUAUCUUUCAUUGAUCUUACAAUUUUUCAAUCACAAUUUACUAAAAAAUCUAAUUUUAAUCUCCAUCAAACACCCUCGUAAUACUAUGUUCUACUACGUUAUUUGUAAAAAAACCUAUAUUUGGUGCAAGAUUUGCCAAAUGUUUUCUGGGCUUAUCCUAAUCAAAGCAGACUCACAAAAUUUUAACAUGGAAACACAUCACAAAAUAUGAAUCCAAAAUUUAUAUUAAAGCAAACUAGAGAAAGUAGAAAUUCAUCAACUAAAUAAUAAGUAACCAACCUUGGUUUCUUCCUGAGGAUAAUAAACAGGCGGAGUAUUAUCCUUGUUAGCCUCCCUAUCUUGCAAAUCAAUGGUGCAAUCAAUAUCUUCCACCACCAGUAUGGACUUAUUUGCCGUAGCCACUAGCAAUUUUCUCAAAUCUGAGUUCCUUCUUAACUCAGUCAACUCCAAAUCAUAUAUAUCGAAAUUCAAGUAAUUCGCCAUCGCCGCAAUCAAGCUAGAUUUUCCAGUCCCUGGAGGGCCAUACAGCAAAUACCCUCUUUUCCAUGCCUUGCCAAUCUUCCUGUAAUACUCUUUUCUCUUCACAAACCUAUCAAGAUCCUUCAUAAUCAUCUCCUUUUGUUCAGCGUCCAUUGCUAAUUUUUCAAAUGUCGCGGGAUGAUCGAGGCUUACGGGUUUCCACAUAUUGUUUAUGUUGUACAUGUUUUCGUAAUCCACUGUGAAGAUUUUCACAGUUUUUUUCUUAUGUUUGUAAAUAAGGGAUUGGUUUAUGACGUAUGGUAAGUAGGAAUUGAUGACUAAAUCUUGAUUUUUCUUGUGGAAAGUGAGUUCGAAGGAUCUAACCUCGGAUCUCAGAGUCGAAUUCAUGUCUCUUGGGUUGUAAAAGUUUCUUGAUUCAAUCUGGCAGCAUACCCAAAUCCAUCUGAAUUUCUGUCCUUGGUAUGUGUCUAUUACUUCCUCAUUGCGUUCCAUGUUGAUGUUGAAAUGCUUUUCCUUUUCGGGCUUGCUGAUUUUGAGACGACGCGUGUUGGGAGUGAUUUUUGUGCCGAGAUAGAGUUCGGCAGCCUCGUAGAUUUCGUUGUUGACUAGACCGUCAAACUCAUCGAUCACCAUAGUUAGUUCAUUUGAGAAUUUGCUGAACAAAUUUCUCAAGCCGGAAUAAAUGUAGUCUCGGAAUUCAUGAGGAAGGUAAUCUUGCACGACGCUCCGAACCACCACGACCGUGGCCGCGAUGGAGCCGACGGUGGACAAAACGGUCUUUGCAGUCGCGAAAUUGGACUCGGAAGAAGUCAUUUUUAAACUGAAUUUGAGAUUUGCCCAAGAAUUUGGAUAUUUUAUGGCUAAUGUGAGAAGAAAAUACGUCGAAUUCAGCUGAGAGAGAUUGAUGAUAUCCUUCAAUUUAUAAUUUGUUGGGAAGAAUCUAAAGCAAUAAAUUCAAAUCCAACUGUGAACCCAAGACCCGAGUGAGGCGCAAGUCUAAGAAUUUGAAACUCAUAAGCGUGGACUUUGAAAUGACUUGUUAAAUUAUUAAUAUAUAUACAGAUAUAGCUUCAAUGAAAUUUCUACGAAAUUUCUUUACUGACCCAAAAGUCAUGUUGAGGCUGCUAAGUCAAGUUUUAUAUUUUCUUUGGCCUUUAAAAUUUUGCCACGUGCCACAUUGUCACAUGUAUAUUCGUCGGAAUUCAAAGAACUUUAAACUAAAUGUCAAUCGAGUUUAAUUUGCCUCAAUCUAGAGGGUGUUUGGUAGAUAUUUUUAUGUAAAAAUAUAUUUUUGAAUAGUAAAUUGAUGGAAAAUAUAUGGUUGAAAAAUAAGGAAAAAUUUCUGAUUUACGUGUAAUAUUAUUUUAAUAAAGAAUGUGUGGUUGAAAAGAAGAGAGAGAAAAAUGCAUUUUAAAAAAAAUGGGUACCAAACAGGCUCUAGGUUAUUAAGCCCCUGUUUGAUCCCAUUACGUGAAAAAAUUAAUGAGGAGAAUAAUAUUUUUUUAGAAAAUGAGUGAUUGAAAAAAAAUGAAAAUUUUUCAAUUUACGUGUAAUAUUAUUUUAUGAAAGAUUGUGAGAUUGAAAAUAGGAUAGAAAAAAAUGAAAUGUAAUAUAAUUUAAUAUAAUGGAGCUCAAACAGGGGUUAAACUUUAAUUUAAAAUUUUAUAACCCCAUUGUUUUUCAUCGCUUAUUGUCUCCCAAACUAAUGAAAAUUGCGUAGAUCAUACUCUAAUUGAUCAUCCACAUAAUCACUACGUGGCACCAUAAACUAAAUGAUAAAAUGAGAUCUGUAGAAAUAAGGUUAAAUAGCGUGUUUAUUAUUUUGAUAUUUCUUAAAUGUGAUAUAGCAAUAAAUUGACAGUUACGUGAAAAAUUCGUUGAGCUAUGACUGACAAUUCAGUAAUCAUUCUUAAUCUGGAGUUUAGAAGGUGACGAGUAUGUACAAUUUGAAACCUUACUCAAGUUGAUUGAUCUAAUUCGAAACUAAAUAGAAAUUCAAUAACUCAAAUGAGAUAAAUUAGAGUUCAGUACACCUAAAUUAAAAUUUCAUUGAAAGUUUAUUACUUUGUAUGGCAUUUAUGCCGUCUUCGUAUUAAUGGAUUUACUUGGGCUAUGCAUAAAUGAGUUGGAUGUAUUUUUCUUUGUAAUUGGAAGAAAUAGACAAUAGAUAAAAUUUUUAUAUUAACCUUUAAUUUUAAGAGCUAAAAUGGAAUCAAAUCGGACCAAAUAGCUAAUUUCUACAAUCCAAUCCAGUGAAUUUUUAGUUUUAGUUUUUGGUUCAAAUUAUUGGUGCAUUUCUAUUUGAAAAAUGAUAUUUUUCUCUCAAUUUUAGGUUGAGAAAACUUGGCGUGACAAUACUGCGUAGGAAAAAGAUAGAAUUACAGGGGCCCGUUUCACAUACUCUUGCAAAAUGAGAGAGGAGGUGGGGGUGAGCCUCACCUUUUUUUUUUAAUUGCUGUGGGACACGACCCCCUACAGUGAGGGGGCCUGUACAGCCCCUAUGAAUAGAGCUCAUGUACAUGGAGCUCGGUCCAUACUAUGUAAUAGGAUCGUCCACCUGACUGAUGACAUAGUCAGGGAUCGAUUCAGGAUUUCAAGUGAGCUAGAAUGAUCAUUGACCAUUGAUUGUUGAUCGUCAACGAACAAAAUAAUGAUAUUGUUUAUUACUAUCUAAUUAAAAAAAAUAAAAAUUCUUCAAUCAAUAUAUAAAUGAACUAAGACAUAAAAUCAUAUAAAUAUGAAAAUAUAAUCCAAUACAACUCAAAAUAAUAAGAUAAAAAUACAACAACAAAUACAUGAUAUAACCUGACUCCAUUUCUGAAAGCUCGGACAACUACAUACUUUGAUAUCUCAUAUUUUGAAAGCACUGUAAGAGUGCAUCAUUCUCAAUUUUGUUAAAAAAAUAAUAAUAAAAAAUAAAAAUUAAAAAAGGGAGGAUUUGUCGCUCCAUGUACACCACCAUAUUGUCGUUCAACCAAUUAUCUUCCAUUUUAUGACACUAGUCACCCUAAAUUAGAUUCAUAGCAAAGAAUGUUGUCAACAAUUGUAGUUGUCACUGCUAAUAUCAAAGCCAAUGUGAUGACCAUAUAAACCAACUGGAAAUGACUACGUACCGGACGUGCACUAAUUAAUGGUGAACUGAUAAUACGAGUGGAGGACCAAAAACCAAUUUUCAGCAUCUAUACUCCAUCCAAUCAUUUGGCCACCUCGAGGAAUAAAAAAAGAUUGAUAAUGAAUUAAUGAAGAGGUGAAUAAUUAUGCAAGUGGUGGGCCUGGUGGCUUUGUUGGGGCCCUGAAAAAUAAGCACGUUAUUCUCACAGUUUUUAGGACUAUGUAGGAAUCAAACAAGGACCCCGCUUGACUGCACACACACAUACACAUAGGGUCGGUAUUUUUUUAUUCAGGUGGGACCCGUGCGUCAUGUGAGGAUGUGGUCAUCGGUGCGGUGAACGGUGCGAGUCGUUUAGCAAAAUUCAUCAAACAAAUUUUCCAAGUCGACACAAUUACAUGUAUAAUGUCAAAUUUACCCUUUAUUCCCUUUUCUUUAAAAGAGGGAAUCAAACAAGUACUGUUCAUCCUAAGGCAGAGGAUUCACACGGAAUUGGUUUUGUACUGUAGAUAAACUGGUUAUGCUAAAAUGCAUUCAGAAAAAUGAAUUAAUGAGAGUAUUUAAUGUUUUUGUGCAAGACCCGUUCCCAAAAUGUCAGAGAAAAACAUUUAUUGAGCCUUCAUUGUUGACUUUACAAUCCUUUGCAAAAUAUGACAGAUUUUUUUUUUUUGAGCCUUCAUUGUUGAUUUUACGGCCUCAAAUUUGUACUUUUCAUUUUUUAAAUGAAAGAAAUUCAUAUAAAUGAAUUAAUGACACUAUUUUAUUGGAUUUAUUUGUUUUAUGUAAGUUGGUUACUGUAGCUGCAAAAAAUAUUUUGUGAUGGCUAAAAAUGUCAUUCACAUAAAUGAAUUUAAUCAGCCUUCAUUAUUGAUUUCAGUUAUUUUCUUUUUUCAAUAGCUGUUCGUUCUUCCUUUCUCCUCGAACUAGAACUAGGACAUUCAUCACUGGUGAUUGCUCUCUUUUAUCUGGUGACUCCUGAAUCCUGAAUCACCUAUUGGCUAGUCGACAAAAUUGGAAGCACAUCACAUUAUGGCAGGGUAACGUUUCACAGUUUAAUGAAUCUUCCACUUACUUGAUGGGUUGGCUAAAAGAUUAUUUAUGGUUAAACUCUUCACAACUUAUCAAUGGAUUUAAUUCUUUUGGUAUGAAUAGUUUAUCGGUCUGGGCGUGGAUGUUCUUAUUUGGACAUCUUGUUUGGGCUACUGGAUUUAUGUUCUUAAUUUCCUGGCGUGGAUAUUGGCAGGAAUUGAUUGAAACUUUAGCAUGGGCUCAUGAACGCACACCUUUGGCCAAUUUGAUUCGAUGGAGAGAUAAACCUGUGGCUCUUUCCAUUGUCCAAGCAAGAUUGGUCGUCUCAAAAGAAAAGAGAGUACUCGUGAACGCCUCCUGUGUGUAAGGCUUAGCUUCCCGAUUCACCAUUUAACUCCUCUUGCCAGUCCAUCUUUUCCAAGCGCAUAAGACAACUGUAGCAGAGAUCGGCUAAGCCAUAGCGCUAGUUCUAUUCGAAUGCAGGGUCUAUAGAAGAGGAUAGUUCCGGAUAGUUGGCCUUAUCGUUGUAUCGAGUAGUUGGAUCAUAGUCUCUUACCAUAAAGAUGGCUGAAUGCGCAGCAGCACCAACUAUGAGAAAUCCGAAAGAAUAGGCCAAAAAGUCGUAUUGCCCACGCCUUUAGCUAUUAGAGGGUUUUGGAGAAAGUGACUUUUUUUCUAUUAUAAGGAAGAAAGAAGUUCAAAUUCGUCUUUAUUGAAAAAUCGAAGAAAAAGUCCUUUCAUUAGAAGUUAGAAAAAGCCUGCUAUGCUCCGCUUAGCCUUAUCCCCCUCUAGGGGGAUUUUAGUGAUAGGUUCUAUAGGAACUGGACGAUCCUAUUUGGUCAAAUACCUAGUGCCACUUCGAAUUUGAAUGAAGAAAUAAUAAAAAAUAUUGUUUUAAGAUAUCUCAAUUGGUCAAAGAAAGGAGCAUCUGGCAUAGGCAGCAAGCCUUCCCAAGGCUUUCUCUGGAUGAUCGGUUCUUUUUUCACAUGUAGGUUCCUCCGCAGCAAAGAUGGUAUGGUCGGCUUGCGCUCUUACUUGGAAGUGGUCUCAGUAGCGAAGAAUUUUUGAUUUCCGCCGGCCCCCCUUCUGAAAUAGAUCUUUAGUCCCUUGCAAUAGGAAAUGUGAUUUCACUAUAUUUCUGACCAGGCACAGGCCCUAUCACAAGAAUAUUUUUUUUAUUGGGGCGAUAACUCUGAAAAGACAAAUUGCCUAUCUUUUCUUUCAUCUCGGCGUCGAUAAAAAAAAAUGCUUUUGGGGCAUUAUUGGAGGAGAAGAAGCACUAAAUUGGGGUUUAUCAGGACCAUUGCUACGAGCUUCCAGAAUACAAUAGGACCUUCGUAAAGUUGAUCUCUAAGCCCACAAUAAACAUAUGAUGAGCCCAAAUAAGAAAUCCAAGGACGCCUAUACUGAUCAUGGCAUAAACCAUGCCUAGAUACCCGAAAAUCGAUUUUCCCAAAAAAGUAGAAACGAUAUGACUUGUGAUACCGGAUCCAGGCAGAAUGGGAAUAUACACCUCUGGAUGACCGAAAAACCGAAAGGUGAAGCUUUGUUUGGUGUUGAUUCUAGACUGGAAAUAACCCUAUGACUGACCUAGCUAAAAAGCUUUUGAUGUUGAUUCGGGACGGAAUCCGCAAGAGAAAAGGGAUCCUUUGGUUUAGGAGAAACUUUAUAUGUUAGUUCAGAAUAAACUGGAAAUGCUGCUGAGGGAAAUACUGCUUCGAGAGAGGGCUGUACGGAAAGAAUUGAGUGAUUCACCUAACACUUCAAAGCCUUACGGUUGGGCUUCUUUAGAGGGAAGCAAGCGUGCCAAGCUAAGAACAAUUCAAAACCCGUCCACUUUUUCAUCUACUUUUUGAAAAAAGGAAGAUUUGGGUCAAAAAGAAGGAAAAUCGUACAUAGUAGAUAGGGAAGGAAGCACCAUAAACUACAAGCUCCCCAUCAACCGCCUCGGUUCGAGGACCGAAGACACUGGCGUGGAGCCCGAAGGAGCCAUAUAUGUAAUAAAGGGUGUGGCCUCUGCUGUGAGGAAGGCCUUGAAAACAAGUCCAAUGGUUAAGAAAAGCCCCCGCAAAGCGGAAAAGGAAGCACGAGCCCCCGAAUUCAUAUCAGAAAGGUUUUUGGCCUUGUCAGUAUCCCUCGACGGAGAUGAUGGAUGGGAACUACUACUCUGACUAUAGUUGCAAUCUCUAAGCAGGAUUUUCAAUCAUCUAUCCCAAUAGAGGAAUGGGGGUAGAGUAGAAAAUGCAGAUCUAGGGCAAGAAUACAAUAACAAGAUCUUUAACUGAAAUACCGUACUUCAACUUUAAAUAUAGUUCAUAUAUAUGUAUAUAUAUAUACAUAUAUAUAUAUAUAUAUAUACAUAUAUAUAUGUAUAUGUACAUAUAUAUAUAUAUAUGUAUAUGUGUGUAUAUAUAUAUAUAUAUAUAUAUAUAUAUAUGAUUUUAUCACAUACUACCCAUAAAUUAAAGAAAACUUUCAAAACGAGCAAACUGGUUUCAUUACAGAGAACUGAAUUCUGUGAAAUCUCUCUUCAAUGAAAGGAAGACACUAUUUUUCUAUCUUGACAAAAGCCGUAAAUUGUUUUUAAAAUAAUUAAUCCUUCUUUGGACGAUCUACCAAACUGCAAAAAGAAGUAGAAUUCUGUGAAAGAAGGUUUUUUAUCGACGGAGGAAAGGGAGUUCAAGCUUAAUAUUUGAUAAACUCUAAUGGUUAUUCAUAGAUCUGUUUCAUGAUUUUGGAAAACAAGGAAGUGAUAAUUUUUGCUAAAUUUUGUGAGUGCUGUUUUAUGUAAUUGAAGACUUGUUGAAAUUUUUGUUCAAGAUUUAUUAAUUUGUUUUUGUAGUGCAUUAAUAAAUAGUUUGUUGCAGUAAUCAUUUGAUGGAAUUAUAAAAUAGUUUAGAAUGAACACGAUGAAAAGAAAUAACAUAUAAUCAAGAAUGAUAUGGUGAACUAUUUUUUCAGGCAUUUAGAAAUUUAAAACGAUAGAUUGAAUAACAUUUUCAAAUGUUUUUACUUUUGUGUAUGGACAUAUUAUUUAUUAUAGAAGUGGAUGAAUAAAAAUUAGAAAAAGUAGAGAAAGAAGAAAGCAUUAAAUGCAGUUUGUCAAAAUAAAAAUAUUGGCUGGGAAAUGAGUAUUGUGUUAACCGUGUAUUUAUAAAUACUUUGGACUAAUGAAAAAAUUUGUGCGUAUGAUUUUUGAUAUAAGAAUAAUGAGAGUUUUGAAAAGUUAUAUUUAAACUAUGUGUUUUUGGAAGGUGAAUCAUCUUAAAUUUCAAAUUUUUUAUUUGUUUAAUUUGUUUUCUGUCUUUUGUUUCAACUAAACUAUUAUAGUGUGUACCCUUAAGUGAUUUUGGGCAAUAUUGGUUUAUAAUGUUAGUUAUGUAAUUGUUGAGUAGAGUAUUUUGUGUAUAGGCAAUGAAGUAAGAAUUAGUUCUAGGAUGUGAUUCUAAAAGCUGAAAAAACCAUAAAAUUAAAAGGCAAGGGAAUUGAACAAGUACUUUAAUUGUCUAGCAUGAGUUUAAGCACCUAAGAAAGUUAAAAAAUUUAGUGUAUUUUCAACUCAUUUUUGUUUGCUUGUUUAUUUGUAUAGUUAAUUUUUUUUUAACAUUAUUGUCUACUAUUUUCUUUGUUGCUUAUUUAAAGCAUAUCCACAUAUGUCUGUUUGUCAUUAAUAUUUAAAUCUUUGUAUGAUUGAUGUUAAUAUAAUUUUUACAUUGUUAAAAGGUUGACGAAUUUAAUAUAUCUUUAAUAGUUUGUUGUAACUAAUUUUUAAUUUUUGUAUAUUUUGGUUUUUGUGUAUGAAUGGUUUAAUACAUUUGCUAAUAAUGUUUAUGAAUUAUUUUAGAUCAUAGCUUAGAUUGGAGUUGAAAUAUUUAAUAGUUCUUUCUGCUAUCGUGAUGAAUAUUUUGGAAACGUCUAUUCAUGAAGACCAUAUUAUUGUUAACUUUGAUGCUGCGUUUGAAAGUGGGAAUGAGUUGUAUAGAACCUUCAAUCGCCAACAACGAGUUCAAAGAGAGAGAGAGAGAAAUGAGAAUAAGAGUUAGAAAUAAUUGUAGUGAUUAUCAUAAAAUUAGAAAUGAUCCUAUGUUAUCUGAAAAUAAUUAUUCUAAUGUUACUCAGCUACAUGAAUCCAUAAUGCAUCAAAAUUCUGACGCUUCAACUUCAAAUCAAAAAACACAUAAUAUUGCACGUGUAUUGCCAACAUCCAAUUAUUGUAAACAUUGUAAUGCACGCAAAUUUUAUAGAGAAAGUAAUGGUUUUUGUUGUUCUGAUGGAAAAUUUAAACUUUUUAUAUGUGAUUCACCAGUUCAACUAUAUAAUUUAUUUACUUCUAAAGAUAAUAAUCAUUUUGCUUUCACUUCAUUUGAUGUAAAGUACGAUAAAGAACUCUUUAAAACAUAUAAAAGUAUUUACAUAUUCAGAGCAAGGACAAGUACAUCAUUAUAUAAACAAACUUAUGCAAAAAAAUAAUACGCCUUCUUAUAUGCAGUUAUAUUUUUACGAUAUAGAAAACGAAGUUGAAAAUCGUAUGAAAAUUUCAUCUAACUUUGUUGAAUCUACUUUGAUUGAUUUAAUCAAAAUUUUAAAAACAAAUCAAUACAGUUAAUUCUUUAGAUCUUUAAGUGAUAUGACUGACUUGUAUAAUCAUCAAAUAUAGAUACGAUGUGAUCCAAGACUUCAUCAAAGAGUUUUCAAUACUCUUACAGCAUCUCAAGUAGCUGCUAUAUGGGUAGAAGAUGAUGCAAAUGCUAAUGUUUGUGCUCGUGAUAUCACUAUAUAUGGUCAUUCUGAUGAUUCACACAAAGUUCAUUACUAUUAUGGGUGUUAUGAUGGACUAUCCGUUACUUUUUCCAUAUGGGGAAUUUGGUUGGCAUGAAGGUAUUGAGAGACGUAGAAAUAUGUACUUUUAGCCUGAACGUAUGUCCACAUUGGAUGUUUUUUUCUAACACAACUACUUCUGUAGCUGAAAUUAUGGAAAAAGAGAAUGAAGGUUUGUAAAUAUAUCUUUUGCUAGAAUGUUUUAUGUUUAACGUUAUCUUAUGUUAUCAAGAAAUAUUGAAUUUAGUUUUCCUUUGAGUUUUGUAGUGCUCAAUGAAGCAAAAAAACGUACUCAGGUAUCUUGUCGAGUAUAUUAUUCAUAUAAAUUACAGAUUAGGUCUUCUAGUAAGUCUAUGUUGCUUCACGUCGGUAGAUUAUUUUAACAAUAUGUUGUAGAUAUGUACGUUAAGAUUGAAACUACUAAAUUAGAUUAUUUUCGUAAUAACAAAAAAAAAUUCAUGCUGAACUUUACCAAGGUAUUGUAGAUAGUGUUCAAUAUGGGGAAACAAGAGGAAGCUAAGUUGGAAGAAAUUUUGUUUUACCACAAUCGUUAACAUAUGGGCCUCGCGAUGUGCUAAGAAGAUAUAUGGAUGUAAUGACUUUUGUGCAACGUUAUGGAAAAGCGGAUAUAUUUUUACUAUAACAUAUAAUUCGAAUUGGCCACAGAUUAAACAAGAACAAAAAAACAAUGAUGAAGUUCAAAAACGACCAGAUUUAAUUAUACGUAUAUUUAGAGCAAAAUUAGAAAAAUUGAAACAUGAUUUAUCCAAAGCAAGUAUCUUAGGUCAUGUUAUUGCACAUAUAUACGUGAUUGGAUUUCAGAAAAGAGAACUUACUCAUGCGCAUAUGUUGUUAAUAUUUAACUCUAGAAAUAAAAUUAUUUGUGCUGAAGAAGUUGAUAGGAUAGUAUCGUGUGAAAUUCCUAACAAAAACAAAUACCCUCAUCUUUAUUCUGUUAUUGUUAGACAUAAUGUGUAUGGUCCUUGUGAAAAUUUAAAUCCUAAAAAUGCAUGGAGGCAAAUAAAUUUGUAAAUAUAAAUACCCUAGAGAUUUUUGAAGUAUUAUUGUAUUUGGUUAAACAUAUCCGUUUGUAUAAGUAUCGUGAUACUAAUAUUUCUGUUCAAGUUAGGGGCCAAAUGUUAGAUAACCGAUGGGUUGUACCAUACAAUCCUUAUUUAAGUGCGAAAUUUGACUGUCACAUUAAUGUUGAAUUAUGUUCUUCUAUCAAAGCUGUAAAGUAUUUGUAUAAGUAUGUUUACAAAGGAUAUGAUCGUAUUAAUUUUUCAGUUCUUACAAAUGAAACAAAGAAGGAUAUAGAUGAAAUUUCUACUUAUCAAUCUGCUAGAUGGAUAUCUCCACCUAAAACUAUGUGGAGGAUUUUUUUUCUUUAAUAUGCCAGAAAUUUGUCUAGCAGUUUAUUCUUUACAGCUUCGUAUCGAAAAUCAUCAGCAAAUAACAUAUGACAAUGAAGAUGAUUUAUCUACUGUUGUUGAAAAUAAAAAUAAAAAAGAACAAUGUUGACGAAAUUUUUUCGAAUGAAUGAAGAAAAUGAGUUUGUACGUACACUUUUGUAUAGAGAUUUCCCAGCAUAUUUUGUUUGGAACACAAAUAAGAAAAUUUGGACUCGCAGAAAGAAACAGGUUGUUAUAGGACAAAUUGUCAUGGUAAAUCCAUCUGAAGAAGAACGAUAUUUUCUUUGUGUUCUUUUGAAUCAUAUUCGAGGUCCAACAUCGUUUCAAAAUUUACGAACUUCAAAUGGAGUUCCUGUUGUUAUGUAUCGAGAAGCAGUGCUUCUACAUGGUUUAUUGAGUGGAGAUAAUAAUUGUGAAGAAUGUCUAUUUGAAGCUAUUAUUUAUGAAAUGCCUAUUUCUUUAAGAUGUGUCUUUGCUACACUUCUUACCCUCUGCAGCAGCCCUAAUGAUCCAAAAUUAUUGUGGAAUAAAUUCAAAUCUUGUAUGAUUGAUGAUUAUAUACAUGAAAAUAUUCCUUCACAUGAUGCUGAACUUCGGGCUUUAAAGGAUAUUAGUUGUAUAUUAGAAUCUUUAAGUAAAAAUAUAAACGACUAUAAAAUAGUAUCAUUUAAUGUAGAUAUGUACGAAAAUGAUAAAUUGAGGAGAAUGGUUGAAGAUGAAACAACAAAUCUGAAUAUUGAAGAAAAUUAUAUUUGUGCAGCAAGUUCAAAUAACAAACAACAAAUUGCAUAUGAUAUGAUUAUGGAAAAAAUAACAUUGAGAUCAAGUGGUGCUUCUUCAUCAAUGGUCCAGGUAGCAUAGUUAAAACAUUUUUAUAUAAAGCAUUGCUAAGUGCUGUAAGGUCUCAAAAUGCAAUCACUUUGGCAACUACGUCUUCUGGAGUAGCUACAUUCCUUCUACCUGGAGGUAGAACUACUCAUUCAAUAUUUAAAAUUCCUUUAGAAACAGUAGGUGAAAUAAGUAGCUCUGUUAGUAAACAAUAUGUUUUAGGAACAUUGUUGAAAAUGUGCAAGUUAAUAAUUUGGGAUGAAACUCCCAUGGUAAACUGGUGUGCUGUUGAGGCUAUGGAUAAAAGAUAUUAACGAUUGUAACUUACCUUUCGAUGGUAAAGUUAUGGCUCUUGGGGGGGGGGAUUUUCGACAAGUUCUACAAGUAGUACCAAGAGGGAAAAAAUAAGACAUAAUUAAAGCAAGCUUAAUCUUCAUUGAUUUAUGGCCUCUAUUAUUACGUCUACCAUUAGUUGAAAAUAUGGGGGACAAAGUUUGAUCCUACAUUUUGUGAUUACUUGUUAAGAAUUAGAAACGAAACAGGGCAACAACAUUCUUGUAAUUGCAUUCAGCUUCCAAGCAGUAUAAUUGUACAGUUUGAGGAUGAAAUAAAAUCUUUAAAAACUUUAAUACAUUAUGUUUUUCCAAAUAUAGAAACAUAUGCUGACAAUUUACAUACGAUGGCAAAUCGAGUCAUUCUUACGCCUAAAAAUGAAUGUGUUGAUCAUAUUAACAAGAUCUUGUUAGAAUAGAAUCCUGGUGAAAUUUUUACAUACUAUAGCUUUGAUGAAAGAAUCGAUAAAUUAGAACAAAGCUCACAAGAAGAUUUUCUUAAUAGUUUGACCUCAAAUGGUAUUCUACCACAUGAGUUAAAACUUAAAGUGAAUUGUUAUGUCAUGUUGUUGCGAAACAUCAAUUCUUCUGAAGGGUUAUGCAACGGAACACAACUUGUCAAAAAUUUGAGAAAAAUGUCAUUCUGGAUGAAAUUAGAUCAGGCAACAUAUGCAAUGACGAUAAAUAAAGUACAAGGACAAACGCUUGAUUUUGUUGGUUUAUAUCUUUCAGAGCCAAUUUUUUGUCAUGGUCAAUUUUAUGUAGCACUGUCAAGAGUUAAAACAUGCAAGUCUCUAAAAGUUUUAAUUAAUCUAUCAACUGAUGAAACUUUGCACAUCAGAUACACUAAAAAUGUAGUGUAUAACGAAAUUCUUUUGUUUAUACAUCCAUAGAAGAUAUCGUUGAAGCAAUACAGGUUUGUUAUACUUGUAAUAAUAUUCAUAAACUUAGUUUUGAAUACAGAUUUAAUAUUUAUAAUCUGUGCCAUUUUUUUUUUGCUGACAUAUAGAUUCAAUCAAUAUAGGAAAGUGUGCCUUUGUAUUUUAUUUUCUUUUGUAGCUAAUUCUUAGAUCAGAAAUGUUGCUUAUUUACUAAUCUAUAUGUUUUUGAGCCGUGUUGCAGUUAUAAUGCUUCGACCUUAAGACUUCGAAAUUGUUAAAGGGAUAGGGCCGCAGCAUAGCAGUUUUUGCAACAUAUAAUAUACUACAAGCAAAUACUACUACUACUCAACAAAAUUCUUUAUAACGGGUUAAGAAAGAUGAGAUUAGAAUGCUACAUGUUUUUUACUACGUAAAGGGUUUAAACACAAUAAAGUAUGUCUCCUCUCUUUUUCAUUAAUUAUUUUUUCUCUUAGCUUUUUAGUUAUUUUUUUAACAAUUCAUUAAAUAGAUAUAAUUAAAUGCUGGCUGUAGAUUUUAAUUCAGUUGUGUUGAAUAUCAAAUUGCAUAGGAAACAAAAUAUUUUUGAUGAAAAAUAUACAUACAUAUUUAUUAAAUAUGGGCCAAAAAAUUCUUACUUCGUUAUUGAACUCACAUACAAUAAGUAUUUAGUAAUUUUUUCAAAUUAUUAUUUUCUUUUUUGUACUAUCAAUUGAAUGCAAAAAUAUUACUAUGCCAUGCCUCUUUUGCAGGUAGCAUAUAACUUUUUCUUUCAAUGUUAGUCUAUCGUUUUUAUUACUUGUUUAUUGUUCAUUUAUUUAUGGAAAUGGAAUACGCACAAUUUUAUAUUUGUUGCAUCAAACUUUGUAGUGACUACAAUGUUGUUAUUCUUCUUAACUAGUGGCAAAUUGCUUCUAUAUUGUAAAAUAAAAGGAAAUAUUGCCUACAAUUAAUUAACGAUUUCUCCACACUUUUUUCCCUACAGUUACAUGCUAGCGGAAAAAAAUGAAUAUCCCCAUGAUUAAUCAAAACUUUCGAGUUACGAUGAAAAUGAUUUUAAGCAAACUAAAUAUAGUAUAGUUUUGCAUGUUUUUAAAUAGUAUGUAGACCUACAAUGUGUUCGACAAUUUCCUUAGUCAUGCUGUUAGCUUGAAUUUAUGAGGCGGAACUCCAAGUCCUUUGUUGUAACAAUAAAGGGGUAAAUAGAAAAUAGUAGAAUACUACUCGCAAAUUGAUAGGCUACUUACUACAAUCAAUUAUUAUUAUUUUCUUGAUUUGUUCAUUCUAAUUCUGUAAAUAAUUGUUCAUAUAUAUAGAUACUUCUAUACAUGGCUCGUGGUUAAAAUUUAGCAAUUAAUGACAAUCAUUUCAAAUUUAAAGUUUUUUUUUAUUGUUUUUAACCUUAAACUUAUAUUAAAAUGUAAUAUGCUAUAUACUUAUAUAAAAUUCUUUGCUAUUAUAGUUGUUUUUUUCUUUAAAAAGUAAUUAUUAAGGAUUUAUGGCUGUACUGUGGCACGGUUUGGUUUUAAUUUUAUGAAUUACUUAAGUUUCAAAUUUGAUCAGUUGGAUAAAUUAACACUUCGUUCAUCUAUUUAUCGUUAUUAAAUUUAAUGAAUGCAAAAUGCAGUGUCUCAGUUUUAUGCUUGUGCUUGUGAGUAGGAAAUUGCUCUUGAAUAAUAAAUAUUGGUUCUCGUUUAUAUUGACUUACCUUGUUUGUUUAGUAAAAAUGAAAGAUGAAAAGGGCUUCUCAAUCUACAAUUUUUUUUGAAUGAUUAGGCACUGAACUCUCUGAAAAGGUUUUCCUCACCAGCUCUAUCAUGUUAGCAACUGCUGCAGAUUCACUUUCUUGCCUUCGAAAAAAUGGUGACUAAAGAAAUCCUUAUUUCUUUUUUGACAAAUAAAUAGUUGUACAGCAUAUCCGUCCACGUAAUGUGCAAAUGUGGCAGCCUAAUGUUGAGUCUUCAGUUAAACGUCAACUAAGUAUUUGAUUAAUGAAGAUUUUUCGGUUCAAAGGUUUCUUUAAAUAUUUUUAUGUCUUUCUUAUUGUUUCAAAUAGUCGUAACUUGUACGACGACUGCCGCUAAUAAAUAUUGAACUUGUAAACUAUUGGUUCUUAUGUCGAAUUUCUUUUUCGUAAUUGAAGAGAAUUUUAUUUCCAUUCCUAUUUUUAUUAUAAAACAAUCUUCUAAUGUUCUUAUAAUUUUGUAAGUAUGUAAUGUUUGUUCUGCUAUUAUUCUAUAAAUAAUAAGUAAUAUUUAUUUCUAUAUAAUUUUUUUGUAUUACCUAUUACUCUAACUAAAUAAUAGUAAUUGAAUCGAGGAGUAAAAAAUAAACGUUCUAUGUCAAAUAAUAAUAAAAAUUUUAUUUUUACAUAUUCACUUAUACAAAAUUUUAAAUUGUACUUUUCAAAUAACAUAUAUAUAAUCUCAAUUUACAAAUAUUAAUAUUUAAAACUUUUAUAUUAACAAAUAAAGUAUAAAAUAUAAAUAAACAAAAACAAAAUAACUAUCGUUCCUUCGUAUGUAAAAAAAUAAAUAUUUAAUUACAAAUAUUGAUAUUUAAAAUUGUAAAUUAAUAAAUAUAAAAUAUAAAUAAACAAGAAUAAAACAAAAUUUACGUGAUUUUAUUUAAUUAAUAUAGUUGUUACUUUAAAAAAUUAGAUUAGAUAUUUAAUAGCAGGAUCUUUUUUAUUCCUUGAAUGAAUACACAAGUAUAAUUAUAUCUUCUCUUUCUAUUAAAUGAUGAAUAAACAAGUAUAAUAAUAACUUAUCUGAGUAUAGUUAGCUUCACAUAAUAGAUUUUUGAACCGACACGUAACUACAAUUACUUUCCAAAUUGUGUAUAAACAAAUUCAAAAUAUUUAUUAAAUAUCUCUUUGUCACAAGUAUUUAUUAUAAAUAGCAUACAUACCUUAUUGAAGUUCAUGCACAUACACUUCAUCUUUACUUAUCAACUCUUCCAAAAAAAAAAAAAAAAAAAAAACUUUUUCGUCUGUGUAUCAUAUAAAUUAAUCCCACAGAUUGGAACUUCAAGAAUGAAUUGGUCUACAAAAGUAGUCAUUGUAGGAAAGCAAUCACCUAAGACUGCUCGUAAUUCAACUACCAGAUACCAAAGUAUUGUCCUCAUGGAUUUAGAGGUACAUAAGUAAUAACAUUUUUCAUAAUUUUAAACUUUUAUUAUAUCUGUAUAUUUUAUAAAUCCUUCCAACUUCACUAAUGUGAAACAGGGUAAUCAAGUUACAGCAACAUUGUAUGAUGCAAAUAUUACUGCACUUAACAAUCAGCUGGACUUGGGGAAAACAAAUGUCCUGUCCAAUGUAACAGUGAAAGAUAACAAAAGUCAGUUUAGAAGCUUUGUUGAUGAAAAAAUCUAGAUCAUCACAGGAAGAACAAAAAUUGAAGAAUUGCACGAGAAUAACUAGAAUUUUGUCUUCUCACAGUAUCAACUUACUCCAUUUGAUGAAUUAGAUCAACAUAUGGAUAAAAAUAUCAACAUCAGUAAGAUUUAUAAUACUUCGCUUUAUUGUCAUGUAUUUUACAAUCUUCUACAGUUAUCUUAUGAUCAUCUUCAAAUUAACUAUAUGUGAUAUACACAAAAAUAUUUUUCCUUGUAGGUGUUAUAGGUGUAGCUGUGGACGUUAGACAAAAACGAAUUAUUCAAACCCAUUUUGGUACACAAGCCACUCUUCAGGAUGUUAUAUUGAUGGACAAACAAUGCCAGACAAUGAUGCUAACCCUUGGGAUAGUUUUGUUGAUCGAGAAUGUAUUACAAUUCAUGAAAAUCUUGCAAAUAGACCCAUUAUAUGGGCUAAGGUGUCUUCAUUCAAUGAUAUAAUCUUACAUACCUAUUCAUUUGCUACAUUUAAAAAUUACAAUUAUAUAUUAAUUAAUAUUUUUGCUGUUGUACAGGCGUUACUCUUUCAACCAAAGUCAAUAGCGCUAUCUUUAUUAAUUCUGAUAAAUUAGCUGUUGCAGACUAUAAAAACUAGUUCUUAAAAUAUGUUUCAUUAAUACAAAAAAAAUAAUAAUAAAUUAAUUAAUAAACGAAUUAUUUUUAUUAAUAUUUUUAUGUUUUUUUUUUUACAAGAUGGAGGCUAACAAAGAAAGACUUGAGAAAGUUGUAGAAAAUAAGUCAUUUGUUGUUGUCAGCCUGCCAAAGCUAUGUCCUUUUAUUAUUUGUUAAUUAUAAAUAAUAUUUUUUUUAAGAAAAAAUUUUACUGGGGCAAAGCAUAGUAGAAAAUCAUUUCCAAAAAUAAAUUUUUUUGUAUAUGGCUUGCAACAACUGCAAGAAAACAUCCAACGUAGACUUUGGACAAGUUUAUAAAUGCCAAUUUUGCAAAUGCGAACAUGCAAAAGCUGUUCCAAGGUAGCUUAUGCUAUGAAACAUAUAUUCAAUUUUUAUGUAUAUUAAUGUUUUAUGAAAAAAUAUAUAAUACAUGCUAUGCUUUCCGAAAAAAAAUUCAUAGAGUGAAUGCUUUCAUUCAUCUUGAGGACAAAUCUGGAUGGUUGAAUGCAAGCAUUAUUGGGGAUACGACAGAAACAUUAUUGGAAACUAUUGCCAAUGAUAUAAUGACCCAUUUUGAAAAGGUAAUAUUAAAAUUCUAACAUUCUUUAAUAAUAUUUGCUUCAAUACUCUAACAUUUUAGUUCUGUUACAGGAAUCAAAUGUAGAAAUCGACAAUGUGAUCAAAAUUGAAAGUGAAGAUGAAGCACAAUUUUAUCUGAGGGUUACGCACAAACGCCAAAACCCUCCAGAAUACCACUUUGAAAUCAUCUUUGCAUUCAACACUUUAACAUAACAAUCAUUGCAAACGAGCACUUUCCUACAACUACGAGUAUCACAACUGAUGAAAGCAAUCUAGCUGAACUACAGGAAAGUUCGGAGAAAAAAAAUAUAAAAGGCAAAGAAAAGAUGUGUAUUACUGCACUCUCUUCAAAAAGUAAAGAAAUAACUACGACAAAUGUGAAAAUGUUUCUUUUUCAAACAGCAGACGAACCAAACUCGGAAGUCAAAAAAGCCUCACAAAAGCUAUGAAACGAACGAUGAGCCAACUUCGGAAACUUGAAAAUCACUAAUUACUUUUGUACUUUUGGAUUAGUUGACUACUUUUUGAGUGCAAUACUCAAUAAUAAGUUUCCCAGCAAGAAUAUGUCAACUAAGAAUAGUUUCCUACUUUAGAAAGUUAGGAAGUUUCAAUGUGUAAUCUGUUAUCUUGUGCGGACCAUCUUUAUAUUUUUGUAAAAUUCCAUUUUGUAGCUUCAAUUACACAAAUGCUUCUUUGCUCAAUGGCUAAAGUUAUAAAACAUUAAAUUAAAAAAAAAUCCAAAUUUCAGCCAUUAAAUAUGUAAUCUAUUACUUUUGCUAAUGUAUAAAACUUGUAUUUUUGCAAAACAACACUUCAACAAUUUAUUAAAUUUUGUAGCUUCUUUCUAUCUUUAUAAACUUACCAAUUACUAAUUUGCUAUGCAACAACCAAAUUUAUACAACUUUAAAUACAAUAAGAACACUUAAAUUCCAAUGUAUUAAUUAAAAGAAUCAAAACAAACUAUAUUCAAAUUCAAUUUACAUUUACACAUUCCAACUACUAACAUUUAUUCACCCCACAUUCAAAACACUACACACAUUCAACCAUUUAAUCAUUCUCUUUUUGGCAAGCAUUUCAUUUCGCAAGCUUUCAAUACUAGCAUCUCCCUUAAUCAACCACCGAAAAAGGUAAUCCUCAAAAAAUAUGUGAUGAAAAUAAAUUUAGAAUGUAUUUAUGGUAUAAAGAAUGUGUAGUUUAGCCAAUACUAUUAUGUUAAAAAGCCAUGCAAAACAUAAAACCGUCUUUAAAUUUUUUGCAUUUCAAACUUAAGUCUAUAGUGGUUCUUAUGUGAUAGUAAAAAUUUUAAGUUGAAACACUAACAUCAACCUAUAAUAAAAUAGCCAUAUUGACUUGUUUAAUUUGUUUUUAUUUUAAACAUUUUUUGUUAACCGAGGACAAAGUUAAACACCACGCUGCUCAAAGUGUUUGUUGAGAACACUAUGGGCAGCACGAAGUAUUGCCCACACUUCGCGCUGCGUGAAGUGUGGCCCUCCGCGCUGCACGGAGUAAGGCACUCCAUGUUGCGUGGAGUGCUUAGACUCCAGAAGUGCUCACACUUCACAUAUCGCGAAGUGCUCAAAUUGCGCCCAGCGCAGAGUCACUCCGUGAUGCGCGAACCAAUGACACUCCGCACUUCAUUUUCGUAAUACUCUUAAGAAAAAAUAACCAAAUUUUCAUGAAGACAAUAAUAUUGUACAAUUUAUAGAGUUAUGACGAUUUUGUAACGAAUACACAUAAUUAUAUAUAAUAAUAUCAAAAUCUCUAUAAAAACUUUAUUUUGCUUAAAUACAUACACUAAUACAAAUUCAAUAACACUUUGUCCCAAAUCCCACCUCAAUAUUGGCUAAAUAUACCUGUAUUUGUAUUUAUCAUUUUAAUGUUAAAUUUUUGUGUUCAAGAAUGGAAAAGCUUCUCAUGUAUCUAUCUAAUUUUCCCAAUAACUACAAUACAAAUAACAAAAAUAAAUAUACUUAAAAAAAAUAUCAUUUAACACACAUGCACAUGUCAAAUAAACUUAGAAAAAAUAAAAAUUACUUCAUACACAUAGCACAUAUCACAUUUUAAUCCAUUUUCAAAUUUCAACAUUAUUGUAAAAAAUAUCAAAUGAAAUCAAAUUUCGCUGUAUUUUUUAGUUCUAUUUUCAAAAAUUAAAUUAAAUUUGCAUAAAAUUUAUUUUAUAUUUAUGCAAAAUGCAUACAUAUAGCCCAAAUACUUGCAGCCGAAAUAUAAAUAAAAUGCUAUUGAAGCAAACCCCAAUAUAAUAUCUUCCUCUGUUUAGCCCCAAUUCAUUUUUCUCGUAGACAACCAAUCAAACAUAAGUCCACCUAUUUCUUUAAUUAGAAAAAUCUAGGAAUAGUCCCAGUAUGAUCUUUGCAGAUUUGAUGCUUCUUUGUAAGUUAUUUUGGUAAUUUUUUUUUAUCUGCUGAGUUCUAGAUAAUUGUUAACGACUUAAGCUUAUAUUGGUGCAUUCUUUUGAAUUUAUGUUUUCCUUCUUCGUAAUACAAUUUUGCGGAAACUUAUUUACUAAAAAUUUUGGUUUCCUCAAGCUGAUUUUAUUUGAAAUGAAUAUUUAACAACAGAAAAAGCUUAUGAAAUUGGCAAACGCCAUAGUGUUUUUAUUCAGUGACUAUCCAGCAUCAAUAUUUUACAUAAUUAGCUCUCCAUGUUUUUUUGUUUCUUUGACUUCUCUAAGCGUAUUUUUCAUUAUUUAGCUAAUUUUGCUUUAGUGGCAUGAAUAGCUAAACUAUGUUGUAUGGAGAAAUAACUUUUCUAAUUUUAUAAAAAUAUGUUAGUAAUUAAGUCUACUAAUUAUUAUUUGACAGACACCCCGUUGCUCUAUUACUUACUUUUUCAUUUUCUUCUUAUAUAUUAAUCUCUAUUAUUGUUCUUUUUCUAUUGAAUUGAUUUUAUUAUCCUGUUUUGUUUUCAGAUUCAAGAUUAUGAGUUCGACUGAAACCUCACUGUUACUCAACCUGUGGCAGAAAACUAAUAUCCAGUAAUUGUCAUGACUUCAACGUAACUAUAGUUUACAUAUUUUACUUAAAGAAAACUAAAUAUUCAUGUAAAGUAAAUAAACUUUUUAACCAGUUGGACUACUUGUUCAAACUAAUGAGACUCGUAUCUUUUCAUAAAAUAUUUGAACUUCACACUAUAGGACUAAUCUUGCCCUUUAGAAAACACUCUCCAAUUGUAUUCUAGGUACGAUCUCAGAUACCUAAAUACUGAUGAGGAUCUGAAUAAAUGAUAUACAAACAAGAUUUAACAUUUCUUUUAAAAAAAUUAUUUGAAUCCCUUUUCGAUAUUAAAUCUAGAUUUUUUCAAUUUAUAAAUAUUAUGAAGGUUCAAAAGAAUAAAAAAUCACCGAAAUUAAUAGAAUGCAUCUUCUAAGAUCAAACAACAGACCUAAUGUCAAAAAUUUUAUUUGUGUAUCAAUACUAGAAGAUCUUCUUGUUUAACUAACUGACUUUUCACUUAACAUAAUCCUUAGCUACAUUGUGCCAUUGUCUUUCUCUGGAUAAUUAACUUAAUUAUUGGAAAGCUCUUCAGAAAGGCAGAUAUUAUCAUUUUAAUUUCUGAAAAUGGCACAUUUUGAUUAAUGAGCAUUUUCUGUAAAAAUGAAAAUAAUGAACUCAAUCAAAUUUUCAUUUUUCUCUAUUUUAUGCGUAUCUACAGUUAAUAACUAUCAUUACUCAUCAUUGUUGACUUAUUCCAAUUUCUUAAAUUCUUCUAUAACAUUAUGUCCAAAUAUAUUGCAUAAUUCUUAAAGUUCAGUUGAAAAUUUGGUUGAAAAUUUGCUACUUGAGGAUAAAAAAGCAUACAAAAAAGGGCAUCCAUUGGUCACUCAUAUUCUCUACUACUUAACCUUAAUUGCCUUGUCUCACGAUCAUACAAAGAAAAUCAAAAGAAUCUAAGGCAAUUGAGACAUAUACCAGUAAUUAUUAUCUUCUCUACUUCAAUUUCUUCCUCUUUUGUACAUAGUUUCCGCUUUUUGGAGUUUCAUUGUUGAAUCUGCGAUUUCUUUUAAUUUUUUUGUUCGAAAGAAUCUAAGGAAAAUGAGACAUAUACCAGUAAGUAGUAUCUUUCUUCAUCUUCUUUCCUAAUGUGUUGAAAAUUCCAACUAAGCUCAUAUUUGUCGAUUUAUUCCAGUGUUAUGAUUAGUUUGGAAUGAUUUUGGACGGUUUUAGUUAGCUCAUGUUUGUUGAUUUCAUGAAUUUGGUAUUGUUAAGCCUUAAAAAUAAUAUUUUUUUUUAACAAUUACAGAUUACAUUUAUUUUUGUGUAAUAGAUGUAUGAGUAAUUGUAUUCAUAUACAUAUUGGUAUGUAAUUUUUUUUGACGGUUUGGUUUUUUUAUACUGACAGAAACUAUUGAUUCUAACCUCAUAGAAAUAAACCAAGGAAAGCAUAAUGUGUCAUGUUAACUUGAAGUUUUUACAAGCAUCCACAAACACAAGUGACAAGAUAAAGAAGCAAAACUAAGAUUUGAGGUACUGGGGUUCUUAUGUUAUUAUAAGUAUACUUAUCUCGAUCAGAAAACUGAAGGAAAGUUUGUUUCACAUGUUGGAAUUUGGAUGCUAUUUACGCAUAAGAUUUGAAUGAGUGGGUAAAAACUUCUUGCCUUCUUUUGGAUGGCAUUAUGGAUUAAAAAAUGGCAAUGAAUCCCAAUCCUAAAUCUAAACUUUUAAUACAGAACUUCUCUGUUCCACAAAUCUGAUUGAAAGGAACUAUAAGUUAUGGAUUCAUGUAUUCCAAUUAGAAAGAUGAUAAGGAAAAUAACAUGAAAUGAGUCUGCCUUGUUUAUCUACAACUAAUAUUUGGAAAUCCUUAAUUAUGAAUCAAAAUUCAAAUCCAAUCCUGAAAUUACUACAUUCCAUUGGCCAAGCUAUUAGGGAUAAACAAAGAGGGAGAAUCACUUUGACACAAAGAGUAGAGAAAUUUGACCAAUCAAUAAAUUUAUUAAAUGUUCAAUCUUUGGUAGCCGAUGGGAACGAAUGAAUCUAAUUCAAGCAGAACAUAAAAAAUUAGAAAGACUAGAAAAAAUCUCAAGAUAAGAUGUAGAGAUGAAAGGAGAUGGUGUGUUCCAUCAUAAAUUGAUUGUACUUAAAAAACAUAAAGAAAAGAAAUGCAAUCUCAUUGUAACUUUGCCAAGCAAAUUAGUCAUUAAUCGAUUGUGAACAAAAGCUUAAAUUUCAUUUCUAUAGCACAAGAUAGAGUCUCUACUUGAAAUCAUUGGAGCUCAUACUAAAUGUAAAUCCAUCUUAGAUGUAUUGAAAACUAAAUAAAUUUCAAAGGCUUACGCUCGCAGUCGAGCAUAAAGUUUCACUGGAGCUCUAAAAGGAGGGCACUCAUUUGCAAUGUAUGCUUUGGCGACCUUAAUUUCCUGUCUUCUAGAAAAUGGUUGACAACCUUCGAUCAUCUGUGGACAAAAGUUGGUAGGAAAAAAAUGCACCAAACCAACUAUGUAAUUGAAUCUAAAAGAAGAAACCCAUUUACAUAUGAGGAGAAAUCUUACAGCAAUGAUGAGUUUUCUUUAUCUUUACUUCAAAUAGUAGUAGUAGGGAAGGCAAUGGAGGAGGGUGGUAUCUUGUAAGUAUCUUGCAUUAUAGUUUAUCCCAAGGAAGCAAUUUGUUUCAAACUUGUUAAAAUGCUAGGGUCUUUUUUUACCUGUUGAGAAUUGCGUUUCUAGAACUAUCUUAGUAGUUGUUGCUCAUAGGGCUUAAUGCUUUAGAUAUAUACACAAUGUAGAUAACAUUUUUACCUUCUAUUGAUUUCUAAUGGUCCACUUCUCUCGAAGUACUGAUCACAUGCUUUUUAUCCAAUCUAAGAAUAAAGAUAUCACUUGUUAGUUUGUAUGUGUAUUUGUAACUUCUUACAGGAUAUGCCUACUUGUGAUGUUACUUUACCUAAUCUUUUUAAGAUUCAACAAUCAGUUUAUUCACUUGACAACGUUAGCUUAGAAUAUUCUAUGUAAUAAAAGGCUGAUUUUCUGAAAGAUGUUGGUUUCUUUGAAGAAGAGCUUCAUUUUUAUAAUAUUCACUUCCUUCCUUGGAAGUGGACGAGAAAAUUCUAGGUACUAUCAGAAGCAUACAUAUGCAGGAUAAGCUUCUAGAUUUUGAAAAUAUUGAACCUCAGUAUUGGAUAUAACUACAUGUAGUAUUGAUUAAGGAGUUUUUGAAUUUUACAGAGUUUGAGUUAAUGAAAUAUCUAUUAGAGCAUUGUUCAGUAGUACAAUGCCUUGAAGUUAAGUUACACUGCUCAAAUUCCUCAUUUCAAAUGGACACCCAAGUGUUUUCAAACAACCACAUUGUAAUGAGUACUCAACGUUCCAUUAAGGAAAAUAGCCAUUGAUGAAGAAUUUGUGAGUAAGUUAGAUUGGGAGUUAAACCAAAGAAUGUAAAUAGUUGUCCGUGCUUUAACAAAAUAUUCAAUACUAGGGUUCUUUAUUAUCAAGCAUAUGUGAUUCUUAUCAUGUACCUUUUUAUUGCCAUGUACAAAAAUUAGGUUAGAUUUCUAUAUAUAUAUAUAUAAAUUUUAUGAUUAAUGAAUAGUUUUUUAAUAAUUUUUGCAGAUUUCGCUAUAAUACAUAUUAUCUCCAGAUCAAUGGUUCCCUGCUACCAUUACUCAAUUUGCAAAUCAUCAGUAUUUUAAAGAUUUUGCAGAACUUAUAGAUGGAGACGAUCAAGCUUCUUUAUUUUGCAGUCACUUUCACGGAUUUAUCUAUGGAAGUAUGUAUAAAGAACAAAAUGAAAAAUUUAGUAGCAAAUUAAUACAUGAGUUCAUAAUGAGACUUAUCAACUACGUCAAAAAUAAUGAAGUUUGGGUACGAUUAGACUAUCAUGUGGCCCAUUUUAGCAUGCAAGAAUUUUGUAUAAUCACUGGGUUACCAUGCGAUGAAGUUGCUGUUGAUCUCAAUUUUUGUAAUACUCGACUUAGGGAUGAAUACUUCAAUGGUACAAAAAGAAUUACUAUGAAAAGACUUUCUGAAUUAUUCCACGUGUCAAGAUCGAGAAGAUAAAUUCAAGUUAGGAUUAGUUAUGCUUGUCGAAUGCCUUUUUAAAACCAAAUGGAAGGCACAUCAAUUUUAGAACUCUUUGAAUGGUUGAACAACUUGAUGAGUUUCUUAUGUAUCCAUGGGGACGUGAGACAUAUUUUGUUUUAUUAAAUUCAUUGCAAGAAUCACACCUCGAAAGAGUACGAAUGAUACAACAAAUGCCCAAACAGAUUGUAAAUAUUCAUUACAUGGUUAUCCACUGCAUUCCAGGUAUUUUUUCUCUCUUACAUAUAAUUUAAUCAUAUAAAAACUUUAAUAUUUCUUUUUUACUUUUAUUUCAGUAUUGGAUAUAUGAAGUUUUUCCUCAAAUUGGACGGCAAUUUGAACGUCGUACCCGUAAAAGCUUACAGUGUCCACGAAUACAUAAAUGGAAGCCCAAAAUAGUAUUAACGGAACAAAUCAUUAAACAAUUUUUGGCUAUUCAAGGGGUUUGAUUUAUUUUAAUUUAUAAUUAAAUCUGUAUUUAAUUAUUUAUAAAUAAAUUUUAAAAAAUAAAUCUAAUAUUUUAUUACAAUUAUAGAUUGAAGUAAUUGUAGUACUGAAUCCUACUGAAGAAGAAUUAAAACCAUUCUGGUAUACAAAUCUUUCACUACCAGCUGACUACCAACAUCAUAUACUAGACGGCAUUGUCAAUGGUGAAUUCGACAAUGUAACACAACAAAUUCCAGCUAAUAACAUACAUAUGCAAGAAACAACUAUAUGCACUUCAGUUGGAAUUGGAUCUACUUCUUCUAGUAGCUCAAACUAUAUAACUAAACAAGAUAUGAAUCAGAUGUUCAACAUAUACAGACAACAAGUAGUGUCAGAUGUAUUUGGUUUCUAUGACAUAUUAAAAACACAAAUGAUUGAAGAAUCAACAAAACAAGAGACUCGCUAUCAUGCAAUUCUUGAAAAGCAAGAAGCUCACUGCCAAAUGAUUCUUGACAAUCAAAAACAAUUUUUUGAACAUCAGUAAAAAAGCCAACAAGACUACUUUCAGGGCAUGCAAUCUUAUGUGGAUACCAAUUCCAGUUCAGUAAAAUCUUACAUUGAUGAAUAAAAUCAAAGUAUGCAGAAUCAGUUAUCCAACUGGAAAUCACACAUGGAAACGAUUGUCAGCUCUAUACAAUGAGAUGUACCUCCUCAUACAAGUUCAAUUGAAUUCGAAAUCCCUUCAACAUCUGAAUAUAUUGAAGACGUGGAAAGGUCGAUGAAAGAAAAAAGGUAAGGAAAAACAGAUACAAUCUUCAUCAACAAUGCCAACUAAUACUUUAGAAAACUAUAACAUCGACACGUACAAAAACAUUAGAGAAUGGUUAUUACAAAAUCCAUCAGGGUAAGAUAUUCAAUUUUACCUUGUUAACUUAAAUAUUAUAAUUUGUAUUUUACUCAUUUAACACUAAUUUAAAUUCUCUUAUACAGUGCAUGUUGGAACGAUGUAAUCGACAAUCUGUACGAAAGACAAUUGCUAGAAAAUAUACUAGAUUAAACAAAAAAUAUAAAUAUUGUGGUAAUUAAAAUUUAAUAAUCAUAAUUCAUUUUUCUCUAUUAUUAAAAUAUCUAAUUUACAUUUUUUUUACUAGCAUAUUGAUAUAGAAUUAAAGCUAUUGAUAAGACUUAUUACCGACGGUUCUCCCCUGCUUUCUAAAGAAUAUGCAAUCAUGGACCUUAGAUUCGAAACUGAAUGUGUUCAUUGGUAUACAAAUAUGAAAGAAGGAACUGGUCAUUCUGCAACUAAUUUCAAAGCAUUACAACAAUACAUAAAGGGAGAAUUGUUUGUAUCUGCUCGACCGUGAAUAAUAUACAACUAUUUAUUAAUUCCAUUAGCAUAUCCAGGCAACACUUGGUUUCUUCUUCUUUUUUUUUUUUGUUGAUUUUUGAAAGUGGAAAUAUCAUAUAUAUGAUUGCAGCCACAACAUUCAUACAUUGAAAGAAAUGAGAGCACGCAGAACCAGUAUUGACUAUAGUGGAAUCAUUAUUAAUCUCUACAGACAUUUUCUUCAGCAAACCAAGUUUAAGAAAAUAUAGAAAUAAAUAUAUGAAAUUGAAAAUCAUACUGUAUCUACUUUGUCAAAAGAAUGAGUAAGCAUAUCAAUAAUUUACUAUAAUAUUUAAUUUUAUUUUAUAUUUACAGUAUUAGUAUAAUCUAACAUCAAACUAUUUUUUUCAUACGCCAAAUUCUGGAGUUUUCUUUCUCAAAUACAUAGAAUACUUCGUUUUCGAAUAUCCAUUAGAAUCAGUUUCACCAAAGAAGAUAAAUUUAUACAGACGAAAAAUUGCAUCAAAUAUCUGUCACAAUAAAUAUUUUUUACGUCCCUGUUUGUCCUAAUUUUAACGAAUUAUCAAAAUACAGUAAGAUUAUUAAAAUAUAGUAAGAUUCCUUUAUCAUAAUUCAAUGUAAAAUACUAUAUUCAUAACUUUAAAAUUGUUUAUUUUAAAUAUUUCUAUACAUGAGAAUAAAUAUAGGUUGUUCGAUAGCAAAUUUGAGACACUACUUAACACAUGAGAUUUCAAAGUGUUAGAGUCACAUUUUAUAAAGGAGCAAAUUAAUGUAUUUUAAUAACGGUUAGCAUCAAUAAUUUCUCAAUAAGGUUGAUAAAUCUCUUAAACCGUUCUAUAAUUUUAAUGUUAUGCUUUUUUAACUUUUACCAUUACACAUUUAUCUAUUGCAUUAAUUAACACUUCUGUAAUUUUAAUUGCUUCUAAAGUUAAAUUUUACUUGUUUAUUAUUCACGCAUUUUAGGAUAAUUUACAAUAAUUAUUGAUCUUUUGUUUAAUUUUUCUUUUUUGUUAUUCAACAUUAUGUUUAAACUUUCAUAUGUGCUCUGCUUUUGGAUCAAUUUCUUCACAAUCAAAUCAGACCUUAAAAGGAAAAAAUUAUAUUAUAAUCUCCUAUGUAUAUCUCCAAUCAUACGUACGCUUCAUACCCAUGCUCUAUUGUGUGUUUCAAAUUAUUUCAAUGAAAUUUGUAAAUAGGUAAAAAUUACUGACUUUUUCUAAUCUUUCAUUCAAUUUAUCUUUUUUGGCGUUCAAUUUAUAUUUAGGCUCUUUGAACUAUAUCGAUUGUAAUUUUGUUUCGUUCAAGAUAAAUAUUUUUAAGUCAAUUUUAGUUCAGUUUUUAUUUUCUUGCUAUAGGGAACUUGUUGCCUCUACCUUUAUUGUAUCACAGCCUGUAGCUUUCUUCUUUACUUUCGUUUCGUCCCUUUUUGUACAGAAGGCGACAUGUCCCUGGUCGACGAAGUAUUUGUUUUGCGUGGUUUGAGAAAGUUGCGCUACUGGCUUUUGUUUUAAGGUAAAAUUUAUGAUACGAAAUACGAUUUUUCAUUCAUUCUUUCUAAAGGAAACAUUUCAUAGUUCUUUCUUGUUGUGAUUUCUUAAAUGCAAAUAAAAUUCCAAUUGGCCAAUGUUAAAACCAAUGCCUUGCAGGCGUCCUUUGAUUGAGCAAAAAAAAAUUGUGUAAUUAGCUUUGAUUUUUGUGAAAAUGAACAUCCUUUCUGUUUAUCUUGGUUUUUAACUGCUCAUAUGAAUGUAUCUUUUUAUUUAUCUUAGUUUUCAACUGCUCAUAUGAAUGUAUCAUCUGUAUCUAUUACCUUGUGUAUUUUAAAUUGGAAUGGUUAAUGUCACAUGGCUAAAUACCUGUGUAAGAUUAUAAUUUUUUUUCUUUUAAAUUUUGAAUUUCCUUGUCUUCUCAAUACUUGAUGCUUGAUUGUCUCUCUUCACUAUUCUUUAAUAUAUGACAGAAGAAAACCAUGGGAGAUAUUGUGCACCGAAUCUUGAGCAGAAUUUCAACAAUGGAUAUAAUAAAAAGGAUGUUGUACAAAAUAUGCACCAAGUUUGCUUUUUAUAAUAGCCAAUGAAAGCGGAAAACUAUGUAUUUUGUCUAAUUAUGUGACAUGUUUUGCAAUUCAUUGUCCAAUGAAACAGAACAAAUACAGUAAAGAUUGUGCAGUUGAAGUAGUAUGUUCACUUGGUAUGUUACAAUUCCACUUUAUCAAUGCUUUAAUCAACAAAAAAAAAUAAAUAAAAUUAAGGCAUGCUAUAUAAUGUGUGCUUGCAUGAAUAUCCAUUUUCAUUUUGUAGAUGAGUGUGAGUCCCGUAUACUAUAAUGGUUACUAACAUUAACUAUGCUACUUUGUUUUAUAAUCACAGAGUGUCAUCAUUUGUCAUAGUUUUAUUUAAAUUAUUUAAAUUUUUUUCUCUAUUGAAAAUGUCAAAUCACAUCCGUUGUUCUUAUAUUGUUAGAUAACUAUAAAGCUUAGGGAUUUAACACUUAUGGAUGCUUAGAGUAAGCUAGCUGGUUUUUUUUGUUGUAGAAAUAGUUUUUUCCUAUUCGUAUUGCUUGUAGUUCUUGAAAUGAUGUUGAUUGAUGUGUAUUUAUCACCCUCAAAUUUUAAUUUCAUUAAAUGCCUAUUGUAUCUUAUAAUGAGCGGUAUCAAUGAUGAUAUUGUUUAUCCUUGGAUUUCGAUCAUAUUUCAUAUGUUAUCGAUCAUCUAAAUGCUUGUAAUCUGCUAGCCUGAAGUUGCAAUUAAAGAUGAGACGGGGAAGGUAUGCAGAGCUAAUUUUCAUUUUAGUCAUGGGAGAACCGUUCAUACUCUAAGACUUGGAAUGUAGAUAUCUAAAUGAAGUUCUCGUCUCUCUAUUUUUAGACAAAGAAAAUAUUAUGGAAUCUGUUAUAUCUUUGCAGAAUAUGGUAUCGCUACAUAAAUAAAAAAUGCCAUACUCAAUCUUCCAGAAAGUCAAAAACAGAUGGCAUGGUCGAUAAACUUCACAUGAUGGUCUUUAAGCAACAAUGUCCCCAUCAACUCUGCUCAAGAUACUAUCGAUAUACUACAAAAUCAUUACCCUAAAAGACUAGCCAUAGCAUUUUUGUACAAGCCCAUCUGAAGCAUUUUGGAAGGUUUUCCUCUUAUAAUCCUUUGACUCUAUUUUCCGAUCUAUAGCUAAUGAGAGAGUAGACUUUGCAUUAGAUGGUCCUUUUUUUUUUUUUUUAUUACAUGGGUUAAAAUCAUCUUUUUAGUCAUGGUUUUCUUCGAAAGAAGAGGAAUGUGUUGGAUUAGAACUUAGAACCAUACUAAUUAAAUUAAUUAUGUGUGCACAUAUCUCAAUUAGAAAGUUUUACAUUUUUAAGGUACAAUUUAUUCAUUUUUAUUAGGUAAAAAUUUGACCUUUCCAACAUGCUAAUUUAGAAAUGCUCUUUUAUUGCAGGUUGUAAAAUACUUUUUGAAUGCAAAAUCAUUCUAGAAGCUGAAAUUUCUCUACAUAAAGAACAAAAACGAAGUCAUCAGAUCCUAUUUUGAUUGUUAUUUUGAUGAAGACAAUCGUCAAGUUGAGUUUGGAGAUAAAGCCCUACUACAGUACGACCAUGUGGAUAAAGCUUGAGAACAAUGAAAAAUUAGCAGGUAUUAUAUUACUAUUUUUUUAGAUCUGUACACAUAUGUGAGUUAAUGUUUGUCCAUCACUUCAAAUAAACUUUAUGGUGUGCAUUUUCUUUCAGUCACUUUUGCUUCACUUGGUGAGAAGACCGUAAUCAAGUCACCUAAAGUACUUGUUAAUGCCGAUUUUCCAUGUUGCAUUGCUUGGUUAUAUUCUUUCUUAAUACUAUAUAGACAUCUGUGGAAAUAAUUGUCAAGUCAACAUCAUCCAAUGACUAAUACAGUUGCCUUUUUCAUUGAGCCUGCCCAAAUGUUUAAGCACCACCCUAACACUCGUGACCAGCACAUUUCAUAUUACUAUUUAGACUCCCUCACAUUUGGAACAAGAGACUGAGGCAACUGAGAGGCAAGCAGACAAUAAAGCAAUUGAGGUUGUCAAAAGUUUUGACAGAUCGUGAAACAACAAGCAUUAAUGAUGCUUGUGUCGUCACAUGGUUGUUCGUGCCUUGUUGCUGAUUGAUUCAAAUACAUUACUGUGUUGAAUCCUGACCGAUAGGGUAUGGCUUCUAUUGCACAUUGAAUGAAAAUAUUUUACCUGUGUUCAUUUAAAUAUUUUUUAUUAUAUAUAAUCAUCAAGUGUUUGAUCUAUUUUUUUAUAUAUAAUUUUUGUUUUUCUAAAAAUUUUUCUAAUUUUAUGUUUUUUUCAAAAUUUUUUAUUGUUGUUUUUUAGAAUUUUAGCUUUUCAAAAUUUUAGAAUUUAUUCUAUCAAAAUUUUUAUUUUUUAAAAUAUUAUUUAUCAAAAUUUUAUAUUUUUAUUUUUUUUAAAAUUAUUUAAAUGCUUGUUUUCCGUGUUUUAAGUGUUUUCAUUCUAAAAAUACUCAAAAUAUCAAAAACGCGUUUUGAAUUUUAUGUUAUAAGUUUAACCUUAAUUUUGAAAAUACUUUUUUAGAAAUAUUAUACCAAACAUAUUUUAAGUGUUUCACGAAACUCAAAAUUGAAAACAAGUUGAAGACAGUAAACCAAACACUAGUUAAGCUUUAUUUAUAGUCAUUUUUCUGCAAAACAAUUCAAACUUUCUUAUCACACAAUGAACUACAUGGAACAACAAAAUGUUUUACAAAUGGUUGCCUAACAAUCAACAUUCACGAUAGUUCUCUAUCUUUGCGACAAUUAUGAAGUACCUUGACAAGAUGAAUUGUCUUGCAUAAAUUGAUAUUAUUUUGGUACUUUUUAUCAAGUGAUCAUUUUUCUAAUACUUAUAAAAUGUGGUCAUUUUAUAAAAUGAAUGAAGAAUAGUGGCCAUUUCCUACUAUUUCUCUUACAUUUAAUAUAGAAUUAAGUUCAUGUAUGUCAUCAUUUAACAAAUUAAAUCGUUUGCUAUAGUAAUAUUUUUCACCACAAAUUUACACAAUAAAAUAUUCUAUACAUAAAUCAAUAAUAUUUUCUUUCAAAAUGGGAGACAAACAGGCUAUAAAUAGAAUUAAUCUAUUUGUUCAAUGAAUAUGUACAAUGAGUUCAACAAUGUGUAAAGUACAAAGAUCAUAGCCAUUGAAUUCAAAAAUAGUUUUUUCAAAUCAAUGGACAUGAUGUCUGCCAACUUAUACAUUUUCCAAGUACAACUUAGUUAACAACUACGCCUACAAUCAAUAAGUUGACAGACAUUCACACCGCACAUUUCAAAAAUUAUUUUUUUAAAAGAUGGUGUGGAUCCCCACACCUCACAAGUUGUCAACCAUUGAACAACUAGAAUAAUUAAUUUUCAAUAAAAACUUCUUGUACACCAUAGUAUACAGCCCUCUCACAAUGUGAGGGGGCUCACAUGAAUAUUAUAUUUAUGGACCCCCUAUAUUUUAAGGGUGUGUAUGUGUGCACAACCAGCAUAACUGAUUAAUUUUUAUAGAACUUGAUUGUACAACUAGAAUAAUCAAUUUUUAUAGAACUAAAUAUGUCUAAGCCAUACAAAAUAAAAUUUUAAUGAUUUUUAAUUCUAUAGUACAUUUUGCCCCCGUUUGGCCCCCAUUUUCUGAAAAUGAAAAUGAGUAGAAUAGUAUUUUUUUUAAAUGAGUGGUUGAAAAAUAAAGAAAUGUUUUCGAUUUACGUGUAAUAUUAUUUUAUAGAUGAUAUGUGGUUGAAAAUAAGAUAGAGAGAUAAAAACUUCUUGUAUACUAUACAGCCCUCUCACAAUGUGAGGGGGCUCACAUAAAUAUUAUAUUUGUGGUCCCUCUAUAUUGUAAGGGUGUGUAUGUGUGUACAGCCAGCAUAACUGAUUAAUUUUGAUAGAAUUUGAUUGUACAACUAGAAUAAUCAAUUUUUAUAGAACUAAAUAUGUCUAAGCCAUACAGAAUAAAAUUUUAAUGAUUUUUAAUUCUAUAGUACAUUUUGCCCCUCGUUUGGCCCCCAUUUUCUGAAAAUGAAAAUGAGUGGAAUAGUAUUUUUUUUAAAAGAGUGGUUGAAAAAGAAAGAAAUGUUUCCGAUUUACGUGUAAUAUUAUUUUAUAGAUGAUUAUGUGGUUGAAAAUAGGAUAGAGAGAAAUAAAAUAUAAUACAAUGAAUUUUAAUAGGGACCAAAUGGGGAAUUGUUGUGUAGUUCACCGGAGGUAAAUAAGUCAAUGAUUUAUAGAUAGUGGUGGGCCAUUAGCUCUUAUAUGAUGCGUCUUCAUUGAAGGUAUAAAGUGUAAACUAAUAUCUCCUAAAUUAUUUUUGCACCAUUAUUUACAUACCAAUAAAUCUAAAUUCAAUUUUUACUUCAGUAAGAAAAAUUUAAAUCAAUUUUUUAGAGAUCUAUUUUACAUCGCAAUUGAGGAUUCUCGGAUGCAUUAGAUAGACCACGAAAGCUGUGACAAAAAUUAGAAAUUUUUAGAACAAUUAAAUUGUUUCGAAAUUUGUUCCAAUUAAACAUUUAUUUUUUUAAUAAACCUUGUUGCAUAGCUUGAAAAGCAAAUGGUGGUUGAAAAGUGAGUGUUACUCAUAAAUAUCGGACUCGGACAUAAGUAUCCUGUCAAGAAUUCAUUUGUUCAACAAAGCAUUCUAUAUGUACAGAAAAUGAGCUUACAAAAGUGUUACGGAAUAGACACAAUAGGGGGAGUGGGUGGUUCUUAAGGACAAUAUUUUAAUCACAUGUGGCCCAUUCCCACGUGACUGUCAGUAGCCAUUUUGUGAAGCACAUUUUCUGUACAAAUGUUUUAAAACUUUGUUCAACAUAGAUGUCAUUAUCGUGGUAAAAUUUAAAUAAAAAUCAUUAUAAACAAAAAUAAAAAUAAAAAUGAAAAAAAGUAUUAUCUUUUAUGAAAAUAUUAAGAAAUUAAGAAUUGCUAUUAUACCACAUUUUCAUUCUUCAAAUAUAAGAAUAGAAUUUGUACUCUAUAAAAAAUGCAAAUUAUAUUGUUUGUUAUAUAUUUUUCGCAUGUUUAAAAAAAAUAGUUUAAAUAAAUUAUUUGUUAAUUAUUAUAGUUAGUGGAAAAAAUUGUUGACUUUCUGGACAAAAACUUAUAUGUUUGCUCACUAUUAUUACUAAAUCACUUGGUGACUGUGGUAGAAGCCAAAUUAUUCGAGUUGAGAUUUAUUGUCCAUUUGUUGUUUAUUAUGCCUUCGCUUGGCCCUCAUUUUGUAGAAAUGAAAAUGGGUGGAAUAAUAUUUUUUUGAAAAAUGAGUGGUUGAAAAAGAAGGAAAUUUUUUUUUGUUUACACAUAAUAUUAUUUUAUAAAAGAUUGUGUGGUUAAAAAUAGAAGAGAAAAAAAUGAAAUGGAAUGAAAUGAAAAUUAAUGAAGGCCAAACGGGGGCUAAAUUACAAAUUGACAUAUCAUGAAUAAUUAAAGUUGCAAUUGAAUGGACAACAAAUUAGACAAAAAUAAAAGACAAUGAACAACAGAUCUCAACCAAAUUAUUCAUAGGUAGAAGCCAAGCAGUCACAUGGUGCAAUAUUCCUUGGGAGUCGUAUUAUUUUGAAUUGCAAAAGGUAGUGGAUUCACAUACUUAUCAACAUUUGAGCACAUGGAAGCAUGCGAUUAACUAGACAAAUUAGUGGUCAAAAAAAUUGGUAAAUAAUAGAAUUUAACGGUCAUCUACCAAAUACUGGGCAACUGAAUAUAUCGAUGCGAAAAAUAGAAAACAAAUACUGGGCCAAAAAAAAAAAAAGAAAAAAAAAAGAACAGUUUAAAUUGGAUCGCACAAACUCCAUGAGAACUCGGAGCUAUUCGAGCUUCAUGUCGGCAGUUCCAAUGCAGAAGACUUGCAAAGAAUUUUUCUCCUUAACCAUGGCGAGAAUUUGAAGUAGUUUCAGUGUACUAAAGUCAACCUGUUAACUCCAAAUUGUAACUAACAAUUUUUUAAGUCAAAAUCAAGUUCUGGUUGAAUUGUAUUAGAAGUUUAUCGAGUUAUAAUUAAAGUUGUCAAGAAUUUGUAGUAUAGGUUUUGAAGAAGUCCAAGAUGUUAAAGAAAUUCAAGAAAAUAAAAUGUGAUCACCGAAUCGCAACUAGAAAUCUAAAGGGUAUCAAAGUGUGAUGCCUCGAAAAUUUUAGAAAAAAAAUUAUUUUAAGGGGUAGGAUUUCAUAAUAACACGUGCUUCAUUCACAUUAUUAUGUCUUUCUAUAUUAAUCUCAUCAAUGUUGCAUCUAUUAUUUAAUUGAUAUAAUUACUUUUCUCGUGACUUAUUAUAUUUUUAUAGUGAAACGUACUUUGAAUGCCCUGAAAGAUCGACGUACCUAUUAAUUUAAGUACGAUAUGUUUAUAACUUUAUUAUGCUUGAAUGUAAUUAUAUUUAUAUAUUUAUUAUGUGCUCACGAUUCUUAGGAUUCAACCUAGAAAUCAGGUUUAAAAUAUUUUCUUUUCUCAAUAUGUGCAUUUUUGUGUAAUUUAAUGUAAAAGUCGUAUGUGAAGAACAUUAUGAAAUUGUAAUUGUUGAAGACAAAUUUAAGGUUUUAUUUAAGUAAAUAAGAUAAAUAUUAGAUGUUAAAAUUAGUCAUUUUAUUUUCUGUGAUUCACACGUGCAGUAUGUAUAUGUCUGUACGUAUACCCCACCCAAAAUACAGUUUAUCAUCUAAUGCAAAUUCAAUUAAGCAUAAAAUUUUAUUUUAUAUGAUUAUUACUUGUCUUUCAUUUGUUAUUUGUGACAAAAAGAAGGAGAAAUGUAUAUUUAUUUUAGAGAGUUGAUUAUAUGAGUUAGAUGAAAAAAUUUUAAUUUUAUUUUUAUUGAUAGAUGAUUUAUGGGGAGUCAUCUGAUAUAUUUGCUGGAAUUUUAUUAUUGAUAUAGUAUUGUUUUUUUUGUCUAUAUUGAUAUAAAAUUCUAUGAUUUAUUUCUAAAUUUAUAAUUAUCAUGAUAUUGCAUGUUUUGGUGUUACACAUGUUUUAUUAUGUUGUUUUAUUUAACUUCGUUAUACGUUUUUAGUUUUGUUAGUUUCGUCUUAUUUUCACGUGAUAUUGUGAUAUCCUUGUGUUUCAGAGAAUAGGUUGACAAGUUGUUGAAGUGUAGUUGUGAAAGUGUCUAUUAGGUACAUUUUAGUGGACUUAUGACUUUGAAAUAAAUGAUUUUAUCACGAAAUGUCAAAGGGAGAUAUUAUUAAAUUCAAAUUAUAAUUGACAAUUUCCUAAGUCAAAAUUAAGUUCUUGUUCAAUUGUAUCGGGAGUUUAUUGAGUUAUAUCAAAGUCAAAAUAGUUAAGAAUUGAUAGGAUAGGUCACGAAGAAGUCUAAGAUGUCAAAGUUGUCCAAAAAGAUCAUAUAUGAUCAAAGGAAUGCAAUUAUAAGGCUAAAGGAUGUCAAAGAGCCCCAUAAGUAAUGCUCCAAAUUCUUGGUUGUAACUUGAAUUUUAUUUAUUUAUUUAUUUAUUUUAUAUGGAGAACAUUUGAAUUUGGAGAAUACUAUUCUAGAAGGAUUUUAUCUCUUUGAGUUAGCUUUUCGAGGCAUCUUGAAUAAUCUCAAUACAAUACCGGGAGAUAAAUUUAUGAUGAAAAUAUCAACGAUUGUUUAGUUGCCGCUCACCUAGCGCUCAAGCAACGAGUCGACGUUCAGAAAUUGGUUUUACUUCAAACACUGAAUUUUUUUUUCCGAUGAAAAAAUUGCAAAUGAAAAUCAUUAUAUGGUGUUUUCACAUGAUGGAGCAUGGUGGUCUGGGUUCUUCCCACCGGGUCAUGGGUAUGACUGGAAUUCUCUCACAGAUGGGGCAGGUGAAGGGUGUGUGUAUGUGGGCCUGAACUUCCUCUUUGGGCUUUUUCUCUUCAGCUUUUUUAGGCCCAUCUUGUUUUUGUUGGGCUGGAGGAGGCCCAAUACUGACAACUUCAACAUAUCUUCCAGCUUUUCUUGUUUUCACUAGUAUUUCAUAUGGGUCUGCAUCACCUGUUACUGUCAACGUUCCCUUUGCACCAUCCACUUCGACUUUAUCAAUGCCUAAAAUGGAAGAUUCCAAAUUUAAAAUAAUAUUAAUAAAAAUAAAAUAAACAAGGGUCGACGUAAUAUAUACACAUAGAAUUUUGCUACUAUUUCAUCGUAAUUUAAGCUUUCGUCGUAUAGUUGAAAAAUAGGAUAUAAAUGGACAGUCAUGUUUGGCUAACCUUAAAAAGAAAAACUAAAAUUGGCCAAACAUGAAUGAGAAAAAAAAAUUUAUAAUUAAAUGUAAAACUUUGAAAUUAGCCAAAUGUUUAACUGUGCAUAUACUUCGUAUUAUCCAUUGUAAUAAAUUGCAAAGAAGAAUGUUUAAUUUUUGCUCUUGCAUAUUGUUUUAACUAUUCUUCUCGUACUUUAGAUAUGCAUUAUGGAAUCAGGCUGUAAGUGAUAAAAUGAAUAAAUAAUCUAACAGGGUUCCAUAAUAACUAUAACGAUCAAAAGUGUUUAAUUUUAUGAUGAAAUUUUUAAGCGAAUUCUACAUUGACGGAAUAGGAUUAAGGAAAAGAUUUACAUGUCAAAAUGCGCCAGCCAUCAUAUUUAGCCAAUGUUUGGUUGGAAUUAAAAUCGAAUUUUUAGUAAAUUUUGAUGAAAUGUGAGGUUUAACAGUCGUGAAACCUAUGAAAUAUACAGUUAAAAUUAACUGUUAACUUCGAAUAAGAUUAAUAUCUAAAUUUUACUUCCUAUCAAUUAGGGGCUUAACAUAAUUUAAAUUUUUAUACGCUAAUUUCGUUCGAAGAUAUUAUUUCUACAUUGUUUAGAAAAGGAAACAGUUGUUUUGUGUACAGUGGUUGUGCACAAUUGGAAAAUAUAGUUAGGGAUGACAAAAUAUUUCAAAUCUAUACAUCCCGUUCCACCUUACCUCGCAUUUCACAAUAUGAACUUUAAAAGUUUGGUAUGUUGAAUUGAAUAUGUAUUUAAUAGUUUAAUUCUAACAAAUUGAACUUACCAAAUAAGUCGACAUUUAAAACUAAGUAGGAAAGAAAAGCAAAGGUGAAGCUACCUUGUAAUCCCGAGACUGCUUUGAGGAGUUUCUUCUUGCAUUUGUCACAUGAUAUAUCAACCUUCAAAACAGUCUUUUGUACCAUUGCAAUAACCCUAAUUUUCUUCUACUGUUUGAUACAAAUCUAAAUAAGGAUAAAUGUGAGUUAUAUAGGGUGAUCUAAAGUAACAAAAACCCACAGGAUCGUUGGGUUGUUCACCCCUUCCAAUUGUCUUCUUUAAUUUGGACAAACCAUGACAUUAAUUUAAUCAAUCUAAGAUUUUUUUAUUGUACCGUUGUUUCGAUUUGAGUGACUUUUGUAAUUGUUGCUGACUGCAAUUCAAGAUAAAUCACCAUUUGAUUGAAUCCAAAUUAUGUUGAGAGGUUAACUAAUUGGGCAAUGCCUCUUGUCCUGGGGCCACAUAGGCCCGGGAUUUCCCCUACAGGCACUGGGUCUGUCGUCCCCUCCUAGCAAUAUCCUAACUAAUUUUAGCUAGGUAGGUAACCAAAAAGUAAUAACAAUUUUCAUAUUUAAGUUCGUUUGAAAGCGAUACAAAUAGAAGUUUAAUGUUUUUUCUUUUCUUUAAACUGAUGAAUAUAUGAGUAUUAUUAACAAAAUUCUAUAAUACAACUUUGUUGAGUCGUUAAUAUGUCGUCUCCAAUUGGUAAAAUUGUGGAUCUAUAAUAAUAAACGUUUAGAAAACAAAGUGUGAAAAUCGAACAUUUUAUUACAUGUAACUCACUAUAAUUCCGUUUCAAAAGUCGCUUACUUAAAACUUCAAAUAUGUCAAUCAUUUGUUAUCUCAUUCCAAAGUCUACUAUUUUUGUUUUUUUAUGACCAUAAACUCAAUCGAAGUACGAAAAUGCAAAAGUUUCCUAAACUCCACGAAACAAAUGGUAGAAAUCAAAUUUUGUUUUUCUUAAUUUAUAAACUCAUUGUCUCUACCGGUUUACCAAGGAUUUUAUCAUGUGGAAAUUACACCCAACUAGAUUUUUUAAACACUAACUUAAAAAAUCAGAUCUAAAUUUUAUUUAUACAAAAAUCAGAUAUCUUAAUUCAAAUCAAAAUUCAAUAUUUUAAUACUAAUAAUAUUAUUAAAUAUAAUUAAUCUCCCACAUCUACUUCACCUACCCAACAAACCUUAGAACAUUUCCACAAAUCUCUCUUUACCCUCUUCAUUUCCACCACCUGCCUCUUCGACAUCUCUACAUGGGGAGAAGCAGCCAAUACCCAAGAUCGUCACUACCGCGUGUCUCUCUCUCUUUCCCUCUCCUAUCAUCUCUUCUCCAUUCUCUAUAUGUGAUAGUCAUUGCACGCUACCUGUAAUAGUCGCUACACGUGGCACAUCACUGUUGCGGCACUCCCAAGCCGCGUUGUCGCUCGUCGUGCUGCUGCGUGCGAUCGGGGUUUUGGUGUGGUCUUGGUAAUUUUGAGGGUUUGGAGAUUUUGUUGGUGGGGGUGGUUGCUAUGGCGUGGUUGACAAGACCCGUCCCAAAUCACCCUAAUGGAUUCGACACGUGUCAUGCGCCGAUGAAGGAUAUCAACUAAAUGAAGAACCCACCACCAAGGCAACUAUGAUUUGCUUUGACUGUGACAUAAUUUUAGAAAAGUUUGACAGAAUAUCCUCUAAAAUAUAGACUAAAAUCACCUGAAAAUUUAUCAACUUUCUCAAACCUAUACAUAUAAUUUAAAAAAGGGUAAAUCAACCCUUCCAAAUACAACUAUUCAAAAUAAAGUGCGUUGGAAUGGAAUUUACACUUCUUUACAAACGAGACGACUCCAAAUGCAUUACUUAUACAAAAUUAUGUAGUGAGCCCAUUAUAUAUACUAAUAAAAGAUGUAUCUACCCCAAAAAUUAUGAGCUGUAUAAACUAACAAAAAGAAACAUACAAAUAACAACUGAGUGGCUCAAUUUGGUAAUUCAAUGGCUCUGAAGCGGCUCAACAUAGCUACUAUCUGAUAAGAAAAAGGGAGAUGAAAUAUAUGAAUUUGUAACUCAGUGAGUGGAUUAUUUUGUAAACAAAUAUACGUUUUCUAUUUACGCUAACUUUCUAAAAACUAGUUUAUAAUAAAAAUAUCAUUACACGAUACUUUAAGCUAAAAUCCUUAUUCUUUAAACUGAAUAAGCUAAAUCUGUAUUUUGAAAUUUGAUAAGCUGUAUAAUAUUUAAAAAUCACACCAAAAAGUACCCGAAAUAACUAUACUAAUGUAUCGAUUAGCGCCAAUAGACAUGACAAAGCUAUUCAAUUCUGAAACUCUGUAAUUAUGAAAUUCUGGUCAUAUACGCGUAGAGCUAUCUGGUCGUACGCUGUGGAAAUACAUUCACACCAGUUUAGAGUGGGUAAAAUCACCUGGGUACUUUCUGGUGGUUUUUAGAAAAUAACUUUAUAUAUGUUGAACUAUUUAAUACUGAAAUAAUAUGUCAAUGAAAUGAUUUAACUGACCAGAAUUUAACUUUAAAAAUAAUUGUUUAUAAAUCAACUUUAUUAUAAAAAUCGUGUUGUCAAAUCAACUUUAUGAAUUAAUAAAUUUUCUGAUUUAAUAAAAUCUUUAUAAAUACUAAUUUCUGAAUAAGUUUAUAUCCACUCACACAAUACGAGUUAUAUACUAUGGCAAUCAAUAAGUUUUUCCAAUUUAUUCGUCAUCACCUGAAAUACGUUACAAAAUAACUAAUAUAACCACUAUUAAAAAUCAAGAAACAUUUUAUCUCUAAUAAUAUAAUACUUAAACUAAAUUUCUUGAGACUUGCGAAAUUUUCCUAAAUUUCAUUUAAUCAAUUGAGGCUAAUUUUAAUUUCUAAUACCUUCACACGUGGGUACUUUAACCAAAUUUACCGUCAUUCCAAUCAUAACAAUAUUUAUCCUUUUCAUUCUAGUGAAAAACUACCAAUCACACUACAACCAAAUUAAUAUAUCUAUUGUUUCCCCAAAAUCAUUCUUCCAAGUGAAUAAUUCCAUUAAUGUGAUCAUUUCCACAAAUAAUCCUUACAAAAUCAUCAAAUUUAAAAACUAUGGUUUGCCAAAAAAAAAUAAAAAAUAAAUUGAUAUCUCCUUACCUUAGUGCAGAUGGAAAUUAAAAAAUUAAUAACUUGAGCUCCAAGUAAUAUUCAUCUCAAAAAUCUGAAAAUUUAACUACAAGUUAAACCCUAGUAACUUAACAUAAAAUUUCUCUACCUCUUCAAGAGAAUAAAGGUUCAACAUUUAACUACCUCAUUCCUUCUUCUUCUUUUUCUCCUUUUCUUCCCUCUUUUCUUUCCCUUUUUCUCGCAGCUUCUGGCCGUUUCUAGUUCCUCUUUGUGUGUUGAAAUGAAAAAAUGGUUUAUUUGUAUAUAAUAAGCGGCCACUAUUCCCAAAUUGCAAAGAAAGUCCUCCAUGUUCCAUUUAUAAUAACAUUUAGUCCUUCUAACUUCUAUUAGUAUAAAAGUAAAUCCUAGACUUUAAAUUUUAUCCACCUUAAACCUUCCAAUUAUUUUUCAAUACAAAUUAAACCCCAAUAAAUAAUUUAUUUUAUUUUAGUUCCUAUUUGACUUUGGCUUUGAUGAGUCAAUCUUUGAAUUUUGAUUACAUAAAAUUGGGUUGUAACAAUCUUACCUCUUUAAAAGAAUUUCGUCCUCGAAAUUCAACUGGCAUCUGAUUAGGUAACGAAUAGAUGAGGAUGUUGAACGCGCAUAUGAUCCUCAUGCUCCCAGGUUGCCUCUUCUAUCUUCUGAUUCUAUCAAAGCACCUUUACGAGUGCAAUUGUCUUGUUCUGCUGAAUUUGCACCUUUCUGUCUAGAAUUCUCAUUGGCUCCUCUGUAUAAGUCAAUUUCUCCUUCAAGUAAACUGGACGAGACUCUAGAACAUGAGAAGGAUCUGCAAUGUACUUGCGGAGCAUGGAGACAUGAAAAAUAUCAUGGAUUCUAGAUAAUUCAGUUGGCAAAUCUAAUCGAUAUGUAACUGGAUCAAUCCGCUCAAUAAUCUCAUAUGGUCCAAUGUAUCGUGGACUCAAUUUUCCUCACUUGCCAAAUCUCAAAAUUCCUUUCCAAGGCAACAAUUUUAGAAAUACUUUGUCUCCAACUGCGAAUUCCAGAUCUUUUCUACGCCUAUCUGCAAAACUUUUCUGUCUAUCUUGUGUUGCUUUCAAAUUUUCUCUGAUCAAUUUCACAUUUUCUAAAGUUAUUUGAACCAAUUCAGGGCCUACUAAUUUCCUCUUACUAGCUUCAUCUCAGCAAACUGAUGUUCUGCACUUUCUAUCAUAUAAAGCUUCAAAAUGAGCCAUUUCUAUACUCGAGUGUUAACUGUUUUUGUAAGCAAACUCCAUCAACGACAAAUGUGGAUCCCAGCUACCUCUGAACUCUAAAACACAAGCCCUCAACAUAUCCUCAAGAGUCUGUAUGGUCCUCUCGACUGACCAUCUGUCUGAAAAUGAAAACAUGUACUAAAAUGUAGUUUAGUACCCAUGACUUCCUGUAAACCAAGCCAAAAUUUAAAUUUAAAUUUAAAACGAGGGUCUCUGUCAGACACAAUAAAUAAUAGAGUGCCAUAUAAGCUCACUAUCUCGUCCACAUACAACUUUGCCAACUUAUUUAAAGUUUAAGUGGCUUUAAUUGGCAAAAACCUGGCAGACUUGGUCAAAUGAUCCACAAUAACCCAAACAUCAUCAUGAUCAUUAUGGGUACGAGGAAGACCAAAUAAAAAGUCCAUAGUAAUGUGCUCCCAUUUUCACUCUAGAAUAGGCAAUGGCUGUAAAAGUCCUGCUGUUUUCUGAUGAAUUGGCUUUACCUGCUGACAGAUAAGACAUUUGGAUACAAAAUCUGCUAUCUCUCUCUUCAUUCCAAGCCACCAGUAAUGAUCUUUUAAUGUAUGAUACAUUUUAAUACUACUUGGAUGCAUAGCAUAAGUAGAACUGUGUGCCUCUUCCAGAAUCUCUUUCUUUAAUUCGAGAAUAUUUGGAACUCAUAAUCUAUUACCCAUAGCCAAUGCGCCAUCAUCUCUAAUCACAUAAUCCUUUCUUAGCCUACCACUGACUUCUACUUUCAAUGUUUUCAAUGUCGGGUCUUGUGAUUGAGCUUUUUUAACCUUAUUAAUUAAAGUAGGCCUUACCUGAAAAUGAGCUAAUAAUGCCCCAGAAGUAGUAAUUUACAGCAGAGUAUUCAACUUCUUGAACUCACCAAUCAAGGAAGCAUAUACUGCACUAGAUGGAGAGAAAGAAUCAGUCUUUCUACUAAGAGCAUCUGCAACUAUAUUAGCUUUCCCCGAAUGGUAAUCAAUCUUACAAUCAUAAUCCUUUAUCAAUUCCAACCAUCUUCUGCCUCAGAUUCAGUUCUUUCCGAUCAAAGAUAUACUUUAGACUUUUAUGGUAGCUAAAUAUUUGACAUUUCUCACCAUAAAGAUAAUGCAUCCAAAUCUUUAAUGCCAACACUACUGCAGCUAACUCCAAAUCAUGAGUUGGGUAUUUUGACUCAUGCUUCUUCAAUUGUCUAGAAGCAUAAGCUACAACUAUCACAUUCUGCAUUAGAACGCAACCCAAUCCUAAUCGUGAAGCAUCACUACAAAUCACAAACUCUUCACCUGGAGAUGGAAGAGUAAGUAUAGGAGCUCAAACUAAUUUUCUCUUCAACUCUUGAAAACUCUUUUCACAUUCUUCAGUCCACACAAACCUGAUUUUCUUUCGAGUCAAACUAGUCAGAGGAAGAGCCAUUUUGGAAAAAUCCUCUACGAACCGAUGAUAAUAACAUUCUAGCCCAAGAAAACUCCGUACUUCUGUAACAUUAAUAAGGCGUUCCCAUUUUAUUACUGCUUCAAUUUUCUAAGGUCUACUAAUUACCUUCUACUGAGAUAACAUGACCUAGAAAUACAACUUUAUCUGGCUAAAAUUCACAUUUGCUAAACUUAGCAUACAACUGCUUAUCUCGCAAAGUCUGUAAAAUAAUCCUCAAAUGCUUGGCAUGCUCAUCACGAUUGCAAGAAUAAACCAAUAUAUCAUCAAUAAAAACAAUCACAAAUCUAUCUAAAUAUGGGUGAAGCACCCUAUUCGUGUUUAGGCUAAAGAAAAAUUCUUUCUGACAUCGGUCAAAUAUAUCAUUUGGCGUUCAAGAUUAUUUUAAUCUAAAGAAAGAGCCUUUUUUACACCAACCAAAUAUUCCAUUUGAAGUUUGAGCUAACUGUGAUUUAGCUCCUAUUUGUCUGUCAUUAUAAGUGAAAAUGAAUUUUGAAAUAAUUUAAUUUUUAAGAAUGUUAGGUUAAAAGUAAUAAAAAAAAAAUUUACUUAAAAAAAAUAUUUUAUCGUGAAAAUGCAGAAUUGAAAAAGAGUUUGAAAAUAAAAAUUUAAAAUAAUUGUUCUUGACAUGUUAUGAUAACACAUAAAGCCAUGGAUCUAUUUCCAAGUCAAGUUCAAUGCAUUUGAGGAGUCAAAAAACUACAACGAUGAACAACUUGAAACUAAAAAGUAUCUUGUGCUCUAUUAUUGAUAUAAAAGCAAAGCGCACAUUCCCAAGGUCAAGUAAGGCGGCGUGUUAUAUUAGUAAAUAUAUUAAUUGAUAAAGUUUUAGAGUAAUUAUGAAUAAUAAAAACGAUCAAUAAUUGCCUUACUUAGUAUGCAUUAAAUCACAAAUCAUUACAUAUAUAUUACGUAAGACGAUUAUCGAUAAUUUUUACUACCAAUAAAAUUACUCUAAAUUUUAUUCAAUACCACCAAUAGCAAGAAUUAAUUAGUACGACAACUGUAUAACAUUAAUGAUAGACUCAUUUAAAUACAAUACCAUGUAAUUUGUUUAAUUGAACAUAUCAAAUGCGGUGCAUCAUUAGUACUAGAUAAUAUCAUUUUUCUCAUCAUCACAUUCUUUUGCUCUUUCCUCUUCUCGAAUUUUUCCUAAAGCUUUUUAAAGAUUUAACAAUUUUCUCCAUUUUCGCCUCCUUUUUUGCUUCUCCUUUAACUUCAAUUCCAGCCUUUGCCUUCUUAUUAAUGUUCUCUUCAUUAGCCUCAGCCUUUUUUCUCUUAAGCAAAUCAACCACACCUUCAAGUGCUGGUUCAGCAUUCUCAUUUCUCAUCAAGUGUUCUGCAAUUUCAGCUGGAGUGACUUGUACUUCCUGGAUUAGGUCCUUUAUCUCGGGAAAAAGCCUCGGAUGAUCAUGGAUUGCCAAAUAAUUCAAUGCCAGGACGUCGAAUCCAGCAGGCGUGCAGUAAGACAUGUGAAUGUGCAUGUCCAUUCGACCGGGACGUAACAAGGCAGGAUCGAUCUUCU
rnacentral:lncRNA from 1 species